UGGUGAAGACCCGCUUCUGUCAAGGAUUGGAGCCUUCUGCACGACCAGAUUUCUAAUUUCUUGAGAGAGAUAAGGCGUUGAAGAACAGAUCCUGUCGAGAAUUGGAGCUCAGGGCAGUUCUCGAUCCAUAAUUCUCGAAGAGAGGUGAGUUGUUGAAGCCCCUUGUUGUCAAGAGACUUGAGAUUUGGAAGACCCCAGAUUGAAAGAUGAGUUAGAGAAGAGGGCAGCAGACACUCCUUGGGAAAUAAUUCCACGCCUUCACAUCCACCUCCGAUUGUGAAAUGAGUAAGAGAGGUCAGUCUUUGCAAAUCCCAGUCCACCUGUGACGUGAGUUGGUUGCAGCGCCAUAUUGCAAGUUCCCGUAGGUUGGAAGGCAAACCCUCCCUGUGCAACAACAAUUCUGGACAAUCCGCUAAACACAGUUUCUGCAGAGAUGAAUGGGUGUGCGCCAGCAAUUUGAGAUUGGAGCAAUUCCAAAUAUCAUGGUACAUCGAGUCAAGAGCAGGCAGUUGGAUGUAUACAAGAUUAAGGCACCGAUGGAUCUUCAAAUUACGAAGAGAUGUGGGAUCCCCCUCUGAAAUCGAGAUGCAGAGCUCCUCAAGCCCCUUAAGACCAUUUAUUUCGAAAUCAGUCAACCUGGGGAAGAUGUCCAAUACUGAGAAGGACAACAAGAGAGAAUCACAGGUACCGCCAUUGAUUGAUAGAUUUUCGAGAACCGGGUGAUGGCAUCUGAACAACUUAGGUAGAAGAAGGUCCAAUUUGGUACAAUCAGAGAUUGAUAACGAUUUCAAUGUAGUGGGUAAGCCAACUUUGUUUGGGGAUCUGUAAAAAGAGCAAUCACAAAUUUCCAAACUGUACAUGUUGGUUUGCAGGAUUUCCUCCUCUAGUAGAGACUCCACAUAAUCACAUUUUCUAAUGUAGAGAUAGUGGGGUACCAGUGGAAGUUGCUUCAACUGAGAGACGUCUGAAAUUUCAAUUUUUGAAGUUUGACUAGCUGUGAACCCACAAGUUUGCCUUUUCAACUGCAAUUCACGGGCAGCAAGAACGUUGAGUGUAGGCACAAGCAGCUGUGGGCAAUUUCGAAGGUUAAGUUCCUUCAAUAAAGGAAGGUGCAUUGGUAAUUCCCCAGUGAGUUUUGGACAGUUACUUAUAGAAAGCUCCUGGAAACGAGGGAAUUCUCCAUGUUUGCCUCCACAACAUAACCAUUUCUCCCAAUUGGACAUAGAGGAAAAUGAUAGAGUUUGCAGGGAUGGGAAGGAGGGAUGAAGCGAGGAAGAAGAAUUCCCAUAAAACUCACUACCCACCCUCACUACUCCAUUCAUUCCAAAGAUCUUUAUAUGUUCAAGACAAGGUAGCUGCCCCAGUGGCGGCAAUGUUGAGCAAUUCCUACAAUUCGAAAGCUGAAGGGAUACGAGAUUUGAAAAUGAUCCGUCUCCAAGCCAAUCUGGAAAUGUUAGACCAGGAUACCCUCCAAUGGACAACUUUUUUAAAUUUGGAUGAGGUGUUAGCCUGUUGAGAAUAUCAUCUUGUAUAGCAUCAUGACUAAUCCCCCGACUCCAAUUCAAGGAUAACUCAUCAAGGUAUUUCUUAUCCUUCAUUUUCGCCUGCAAUGCAUCCUCAACACCCACCACAUUCUCCAUUUUUGAAAUUUCAAGUCUUCCUCGAAUCUCUGAAAGCUUCCACAAUUCUCCAAAUCUGAAUCCACUUUCUUUGCCCACAGUAAAAUUAGAUAAUUUCUGCAAACUUUUUAAUUGACCUAUAUCAUUUGGCAUUUCUUCCAAUGAAUUAGACCCACUAAUAUCAAGAUAGCGCAAAUUAAUCAACUUCCCCAUUUUUGAAGGCAAUUCAAGAAGAGAAUCACAAUUACUCAGCAUCAUCGUUUGCAAAUUGCACAAACAACAUAUUGAUUCAGGUAAUCUUUUAAUCCAUGUUGUAGAGAGAUCCAAGUAACGCAACUGUUUUAAAUUGUGUAUUGAAUCAGGCACAUCUCUUAUGCAGUAUGCACGCAAUGACAACACCCGCAAAGAUUUAAAUUUUGGUAAUAUAUUGUGUAAAACUCUUGUACUCAACAAAUAAGGAGGCCAUGAUGUCUUCACCUCUAAGAUUGUUCUGAGAUGUUUGGCUUCACCAACAGGCUCAAAAGUUUCAAACACAGCUCCCCGGUCAUCGUCACUUUCAAAGUGGAAAAAAUGGCGAGCCUUAUCAGAUAUUUUUGGCAGCUUACAAUCUUCCAAUCGAAUGCAAAAUUCUUGGGAGAUAUGUUGAGCCAAGUCAUGUAUCAGAUCAUGCAUUACAAAGCAUGAUUUUUCUCCUCUAAUACAUUUUUGAAAAAACGACUUUGCUAAAAGUUCAUUUAAAUAUGAAUCACCUACCUCUUCCAUUCUUCUGUUACUUUGUCCUGAGUGUAAAAACCCUUCUGCCAUCCAUAAUAGAAUCAGCUUCUCUUUGUGGAAUUCAUAGUCCUUGGGAAAAUUUGAACAGUAAGCAAAACAACGCUUCACAGGAGGAGAGAGAUGCUGAUAACUCAAUCUAAGAGACGGAAGAAUUUCAUGAUCAGUUUGGGAAUGCCACGUUUCGCUAUUCAAAAUAUCUUCCCAUUCUCCUUUUUCGGCCUUGUAGUACAAGAGGCUCCCGAGUGCUUUAACAGCCAAAGGCAAUCCUUGGCACUUGUCCACAAUCUUUCUUCCUAUGGGCUCAAGCUGUGGAUAAGCGCUGGAGUCUCCAUUUGGAAAUGCAAGUUUUGUAAAUAUGGACCAACUAUCUUCAGGGCUUAAUGUCCCCAAAUGAUGAGUAGGGACUGCUCGCAUGAUUUUUGCAGCAGUUUCACUGCGACUAGUCACAACAAUCUUGCUUCCCUCUGCUGCAGUGAGGAGUGGAUUUCGUAGGCCUACCCAAUCAUCAGACUUCAUAUCCCAGACGUCGUCCAGAACAAGAAGAAAUUUCUUGUUACCUACUCUCUCUUUGAGUUUAAGCUGAAGCAAAUUUAGGGUGUCAUCAGGUUUAGUUUCAGAACCGAUUUCCUUGAGAAUUGAUUUUGUCACCUCCUCGAUGAGAAAAAUCUGAGUGGAAACACAGACCCAUGCUUUCAAGUGGAAGUGUUGCUUGACCGUGUCAUGGUUAUAGAGAAGCUGAGCGAGUGUGGUCUUGCCGUUGCCGCCGAUGCCCACUAUGGACAUCACAUCUAUGUUGUUGCCUGUUGCAUUUUCCUUAUCAGAAAGCAACCACUUCACCAUCUCCUCUUUGAUUCCAUCCCUGCCCACCACAGAGGACUCAUCCACCAAAGAAGUGGUUGGUGGCCUUGGUGACAGUUUAUCGCCCUCACCUUCUUUCAGCCCAAGCUUCUCUUUUUCUUCAGCAAUAUCUUCAAGCUUAGCAAUCAUCUCCUUCACCCUGGACUCCAUGCUUUGAUUGGCAAAUGGAGCCUUAACCCUGGUAGAGAACUUGUUCCACACCUGAUAAAUUCCACCAGGUUGGGAGUCAGCAGCUUCAAUCUCGCACCGCAAGGCUUCGGUAGCGAUCUCGUCCAACAGGUCCUCCGCAUGAUACACAGCAUCCUUAACCUGGACCAGCCAGUCUUUGACUAGUGGGUCUGAAAAUUGCUUCAUCUCCGCAUCAUUGAGCGCUUUGUGGACAACCAGCAAUUUCCUCUUCAAUUUGUUGAGGAGUUCAUGGCUAAGCUUCUGUCCCCGGAUGAAGUUCAUCAACUCCGGAGAAGUCAACCUGUCGAAUAGAACUUGAAGUGAAGCGGAUAGGAGUGCGUCGGCCAUAUCUGUUGACUGUUGCUUUGCAAAUCAAAGGAACUCAGCGAUUCAGUUCAGGAAAAAACGAAGGUAAAGCAGAUGCAGAAUCACACCACCAAACUGUAGUGGACUGGUUUGAACACGAGAUCCAAAAAUAAUGGAAAAAUAAAGAAGGCCACAGAGAGGCACAUGGGGCUGCACCAAACACCAAGGGAUGCACAUGGUCUGUCACCCUCGAGCAUAAAACUCAUGUUAUGUUUAUUAAUGACUCUUAUCUUUUUCAAAUCCAUAUAUAAUUUUAUCUAUAACUUCAUGCAUGUUUUUUUCAAUUGUUAGUAUUGAUUUUUUAUUUUUUUGUUUUUAAUAUAUUGGUGAAUCAAUUGGUGGAGUUGGGGCAGAUCUUUUGACAUUGAUCUAGGUCUUCAAUUUUUUCUAGAUUUGCUCUUUAGAAUAUUGUAUUUUAUUUACCAUUGCAAAAUAAUUAUUCAAGCUCUUAACUUGAAAAUAUUAAAAUUAUUUUUAACAAUUAGCAUUUUUGUUAAAAAAAAUAACUCGGUAGUUUAUGAAUUAAAGUAUGAAAAUUGUCAUUUUCUAUGUUUUCAUAAUGAUGUAAUUGUGAAACUCCUAACCCCCCAAAAAAAAAAAAAAGGAGAAAAGAAAUUUCACCUUAAUUGGCUUUUGUCAAAGGCAUAUAUACCUUUUACUCGCAUUAGUUCUAUACCUACUUGGAUAUCCUUGGUUUUGUACAACCGAUAAUGAAUUUCAUUCAAUUUGAUCGAUUUUGUAGUUCUUUAGUCGAUUUUAAUCAUAAUAAAAGAUUGUCUAUAUUUGAAUGUUUAUGUAAAUUCAACUGAAUUAAGAAUUUUUAUAUGACAAAAAUAAAUCUUAAUUAAAUAACCUUAUUAUUGCCUUCUCUAGCUAUAGCAGUCAUAAAACUUCUCAUAAUUACAUCAUCACCACCUUCACUUUCCAAUCUUGAAGCCACCUUGCAAGAUUCCUUAACAACAUCAUUAUUCAAUUCAAAAAAAUUUCACAUAAAUUAAAUAUAUAAAAAAAAAAAAUCAUUUUUCUCAAUUUUUAUUUUUUUUCUUUUCUGAGCAUUUGUCAAGCAAAUAAAAAAUAGGCUAAAUAACUUGAAAAUAAAUUGAAUAAUAAACCAAAGGAUGGAUUGGUAAGAUUAUUUAGUAUUGUUUAAUCAUAAUAAACAAAAGAGCAUUGCAAAGAUUAUUAUAAGAUGCCUACUUAAAUCAAUAAUAUCCUCCUCACUUCCUUCCAUAUACACGAGAUUCAAAAAAUAAAAAAAUAGAAUAAGCCAUGCGCAUGAGAUUCAUUUAGUUUUAUCGAGAGAGUUGUGCCUCUCAUGUACACACACACGCCAGAUUAAAUUGAAAGAUGAAAUAAGUCAUAGAAGGCUCAUGGGGCUGCUUAAAGCCUCACAGAGAGAGAGAGAGAGAGAGAGAGAGAGAGAGAGAGAGAGAGAGAGAGAGAGAGAGAGAGAGAGAGAGAGAGAGAGAGAGAGAGAGAGAGAGAGAGAGAGAGAGAGAGAGAGAGAGAGAGAGAUGGUUUUUUUUCUUUUCUUUACUUUUGUGAAAAAACAAUCAUUUAUGCUAUGUUUGGUUGGUUCAUAGAAAGUUUGAAGGAAGAUCGUAAGACAAAAAAAAAAAAAAAAAAACAUUGCAAAGAAAAAAAAUGAUUUAAAAUUAAUAAAUUCAUUUUACAUAUAUAUUAAUUCUUUGAUAUAAGAUUAAAUAAUUUAAAAAUAUAUAAUUUUCUUAAUCAUUUUAAUUACAUUUGACUUUUUUUCAUAUAUUUUUUUCCAUAUUUUAUAUGAUAUAAUAAAAAAUGAUAAAAUCAUUUUUCUUAACAUUUUCUUCUUUUCUUGAUAAUUUUCAGGAACUAAAUAUAAAUUUAUAUUAAAAGUAAUCCUUUAUAUUAAAGUCAUACUUGGUUCUCAUAAAGUGUUCCAAAAAAAAAUGUUAAAAAAAAAUUAAUUUUCUCCUGUUUGAUUUUACUAUUAAGAAUAUGAAAGAAAGUCAAAUAUAAUUAAAAUUAGUAAAAAAAUUUAUAUAUUUUCAAGUUAUUUAAUUUUUAUAUAAAAGAGUUAAAUAAGUAAAAUGAGUUUAAAAUAUGAUAUAAAAACAAUUUAUUGACUUUUCACAUCUAAUUAUCUUAUCCUUCAUUUGUAAUACUAGAAGUAUCAAAGAAAUGAAAAAAAGGAAACCUACAUGAGAAUUUAAAAUCAUAUGUUUGAAUGAGAGUGAAAUCUCAAAUACUAAAUUACAUAUAUUUUUAUUAAUGAAGAAAAAUGAGAAAUAAUAUUUUUUUUAAAAAGGAUCUAAAUUUUUUCCCUUUACUUUUUUUACAUGUCACAAACAUGGUUCUCUUAGUUUCUAAUCUUUCCUAAUUCAUCAAAGAAUAAAUCCCCAUAGUCAAUGACACAAGUACUGCAGACAUGGCAAUGAGAAUUCUGCUAAUGAGAAGCUAGCACCAAAAGAUUUAGGUCUUCUCUUAUGACCCAUAACCAUGACAUUCAUCUCAAUGAUCAUCUCUAUGAAGACAAAAAUUCCUCGUCACAAUACCUAAGAAAUGCCAAAACAGGAACAAAACUUCCUACCAAACUUCAAGCCCAUCUGCCUACCUUUAAAAGGUGGUCCACUGGGUCAAUGCAAAAUAGACCAGCUUUUAUUACAGAGACUCCCAAUCAAUGAAUGCAGGCUGCUAAACCAAAAUAUAAAACAAUAAGAUGUUUUUAGGUUAUUGAGAACAUGAACCAAAACAAAGAAAACUUUUUUGUUUUAGUGAAAAAUAAGACAUUGAAAGGAUAUGCAGUCAUAAAACUUGCAAUUUUGUAUAUUGCAGAGUUAAAUCUCCACUUUUAAUACACUGGAAAGGGAAUAGCAGCAAGAAAAGACCAAAGCAAUUAAAAUUUCUUACUGCCAAAGCACAAUACAUCCCUACUUUACUCCAUGCUUGUAUAAGAGAACAUAGACCCAGAAAGUGACAAAAACCUAAGCAUCCAUGGUUUUCCAUAGUUAUCAAGUGGUUCACUUGGUUUAGGCAUACUGCCAAAUAAAAACAGAGCAUGACCUUGCCAGUACCAUUAGAAUAUGGCAACUAUCUGCAUCCAAAAUGUGAGCACUUAGGUUCAAUCCUCCUCGACUCCUCUUCAAUAUUUGUUUCAAACUUGAAGCUUCACGAAAAAAGAAAAUCCCUAACACACCUGCCAUCGUUAAAAAAAUUAGCAUCAACAAGCAGACAUAAGAUUCCUUGCACCUAACAUUGACAUGGACUCAAAUUAUCCAAAACUAACCUAAAUUCAUGGAGAUGAAUGCCAAUCAAGCAAAGCACGUGCCUGUGUGAUGUUUGGUCAGUCAUCUGGAGAAGCUUGGAGCACGCCCAUGAUUAGAUCUGUCACAUGAGCUGUAUUUUGGUAAUUCUGGAAUGCGGUAUUUUCUAUUUAAGAUAAUAGAUGGUGAGAAACAUAUAGUCAGAUGAAUAAUAAAACACAUACUCUAGUAUUCUACUGAUUGAUUCACCCAUUCACUAAUCAUUAAAAAGUCUAGAAAUAUAGAAGCUUAAAUUUUCGAAUUUAUGGACAUAGUAAAUAAGCUCAUAAUCAUCAUUUCUAUACAAAAUCAGGAAGUUCAAUGAGGAAGUUGCACUCAACCGCCUUAAGAUAAUAAGGACAUCAGAAUAGAAAACAAAGCUACAAAAAGUCUUAAAGCCAAGAUCAAUUUAAUUAUAGUAUUCUUCUUGGGAGUUGCAUGGUAUAAACCUUCGUUAAGACAUGGACUCUAAUUUUCUUUUCAAAGAAACAGCUAACAUCCUGAUCGGAUAAACAAUGAGAGCCAAUGCCCAGGGCCACUAACAGGAAUGUAGGCAUGGAAACAACAAUUCUGCUAAUGAGAAGCAGCACAAGAAGACCGUCACCUUCAGGAUCCAUGUCAUUGAUCCAAAUGAUCAACUCAGCAACAGUUAAAAAAAAAAAAAGUAUACAAAAAUUCAUAGUCACAGUCGAGAUCUAAGAAAUGCCCAUAAAAGAACAUAACCACAUCAAAAUUAGGACAAAACAAGUACAACUACCUAAUAAUAAAAAAAUUGACCAAAAUACUUCAUGUAAACAAAUAAAAAAAGUUGACCAAUUCAGUAUCAUAAAAUACUUCAUAUAAAAUUUUUGCUUUUAAAAUCGUAGUUUGCUAAAUGAUCCUAGUUGGUUGAUAUGGAACACAUGGAGAAGAAAAGAAAAAACAAAAAGUAUUGAGUAAUUUAGUUUGAUAAAAAUUAAAAAGAAAAUGGAAAUUUAUUCGGAGAAGUAGCAUCAAUUACCCAUGGAAUAAGUGCCUGCAGAUGUCUCCCAAAGAAUCUUAAUUCAUUCGUAAAGCUACAAUAUUGACUACAAACUAACCAAAAAGAUCAAAAACUUUAAAUUCAUGCAAAUUAAUUUAUAAUAAAACAAAAAGAAGAGAAAUUCAUUCUCAUAUACAAAUUCUAAAAGGAAGAGUGACAAGAAAAGAUUAACUAAUAAAAACUCCAAAGGGGUGUGGUGGUAUAGAAACUUCGACCUUCCUCAUUGUUGGCCUAAUUACAGCCUCAAAGAUGAUUAAAGAGCCAUUGCUCAUGUGAUUAAAAUAUGAUAACUAGCUUUGUUAAAAUGUGAAUUACCAAGAAUCAAUCUUCCUUUACUCAUCUAGAGAUGCGUAAAUUCUAGAGAUUGUCAGAAAUUCUGAAAAGUACUUGACAGCUACUUUAUGAAUUGGAACAUAAAGUUUCUGAAUAAAAUAAGCAUAGAAUUAAUUACCUGACUGUAUAUUGGUGCGGUACCACUUUCAUUAAAAUAUCACACCAUUGAUCACUAUUUUUGGAGGUGAGAGCAAGCAAUUGCAUAUAUAUGAGAUCAGGGUACCCUCUGAUUUGCAAGUAACGUCAAUAGCCUGUCCGAUAUGAAGUUCAUAAUUAUAUGAACUCUAUUGCAUUCUCUGCUUCCCCUUCAUCAGCUUGGCAACUAGGCAUUUGAAAAAAUUUGGUCUUUAAAAUCUGGAUCCAAGAAAGAAUAACCAUACAGGCACACACACCUGGACAGCCUCCCCUCUUCAUCAAACAAUUCAAUAGCUGUUAAAUCCAUGGCCGCUGGUGCCUAUGCUGCACAUGUCAUCAGGAAUUGCCUGCACAACAGACCAAGAAGAAGCAUUUGAGUGCUUAUAUGAUCUAGCAGCUCCAUCAGAAUCAAGUGUUGCCCUGUAGUAAUAGUCACUCCUUAAGUCUCUUAUGCUUAAGUCUCUCCCCAUGUGCAGGUAGGUAUCUGGGUCUGAUUGUUACUCAACCCAACCAAGCAUGGGCAUCCAUACUUGAUACUUUUCAGGUUGGUCAAAUUGAAAUGAGUUACAUAUAAUGCUCAUCUCCCGUAUCGUUUUUGAAGCUAGUUCGGCUAGACUAAUAGACAAAUAAGCCCUCAAAAUAAACUUGCCCAGGUUGAGAACAGACCUUAUAUUGAGAUAGUCCACAACCAACUCUGCUCUUAAUAUAUAAGAAAUAAUGAAAAAUAAAUAGUCAAACAAAUAAUAAAAUGCAUAACCUAAUAUCCUAUUGAUUGAUUCACCCAGUUUUUAACCAUUAGAAAGUCUGGAAAUAUAGAAGAGUGACUUUUCGAAUUCAUGAGGAUGGUGAAUAAGCUUAGAAUCAUCAUUUCUACACAAAGUCAGUUGGUUCGAUGAGGGAAUUACACUCUUAACUACUUUAAGAUAAUACAACAACAUCAAAAAUAGAAAAUUGAACUACAAAAGGUCUUAAAUUAAGAUCAAUUUAGACAUAAUAUACUUCUUGGGAGUUUCACGGUAUAAACCUUUGUAAAGAAUUAGACUCUCCUUCUUUAAGACUAUGGACCCAAGACUCAUACUCACUGAUAGAAGUGCAGGCAUGCCAAUGAGAAUUCUGCUAAUGAGAACCUAGCAUAAGAAUAUUAAUGUCUUCUCCUGUGAUCCAGAACUAUAGUCCGAAAUGGGAUCCAUGACAUUGAUGUCAAUGAUCAUCUCCAUGACAACAGAAAAUAUACAGAAAUUCCUAGUCAUAGUCAAGACCUAAGAAAAGCCAAAACAAGAACAACGAAACAUUAAAAUUGGGACAAAAACAAGUGCAUAAGCUUCCUAAUGAACAUUUAAGUCUAUUAGCUUACCUUUAAAAAGUGGACCACUUAGUUAGCACGCAAUAGACCAGCUUUUGUUACGACUCCCAAUCAAUGCAGGUUGCUAUUAUCAUAACCGAACUUUGUUCCUCAUAAGCAGUCUUUUAUGCUGAUACUGGUAACUUAAUAUGGAACAUGUACAAAAAAGAAAAGAAAUAACAAAAAGUAGUAAUUAAUUUCGUUUGAUAUUGAAUGGAGUAAAGUCACAACAUGUGCAUAUGCAAGUAUAUUAUCCUAAAAACCACUUGCAAAAGGCACCAAGUACCCAACUAAUAUCAGACUUGAAUAACCAUGAAUUACCUAAAACUGUAUCCACAUGUUCCUGCAUGAGAUAGAUACACAGAUAGUUUCAACUUUGCUCAUUUGGAAAGAUCAAUUAAAGCUACAAUGCAAAUUACCUGGGAUGAAUUUUCCUUUGUUGGAGAACUUCUCAAAUCAAACAAAUAGAGUUUGUUGCUUGCUCAAAUCUUCAACAACUGGACCAGCCAAAGACUUGUGUAGAUGUACAAUUCCUAAAGAGUGUUGAGCAUAUUAGGAGCCUUUGAAUUCUGAAAGGAGGUCAAGACCUUAACAAUGUAGAAGGUUUAAGUAAUUCUGUUAUCAAACAUGGUAAAAUUGAUUAAACAAAACCUUGAACAGUGAGGUAUUUUCUUCUAAAAAAGAUGAGUCCACCAUUGUGUGGACUAUUGAGAAUAUAAAAAAUACGACAUCAGAAUUAUAAGUAACUAAAAUUACCUACCAAUAAGCAGCUAGCUAGAAUAAAUCCAUGGUUUUCUCCAUGCCUGUAUUAGAGAAAUGACAAAGAAAGUGAGGAAAAAAAAUCAAAGCAUUCAUGUUUUUCGACAGUAAUUAAGUGGUUCACUUGGGUUAUGCAUACUGCCAAAGCAUGAAAAUAUGAGUACCAUUAAAAUAUGAUCUGAACUGUCUGUGUCAAAAUGUCAGCACCUAGGUUGAAUCCUCAUCUACGGCUUUUCAAUAACAUUUGUCCUAGGGUUGAAGCUUCAAGAAGAAGAAAUCUUAAAUCAAAUAAAUGGAGCUAAGGAAUUAUGCAGAUAUAUUCUUGAGAUUAGAAAUUUGGAUGGCUACAUCAGGAAUUGGAACAUAAAUUUUCUAACAAAAUAAGUUCAAGCACAAAGCAAUUACCUGCCGAUAUGUUGGUGCAGUGCCAUUUUCAUUAAAAUAGCACAUCAUCGAUCACUAUUUUUGGAAUGUGAGAUAUAAAACGCCAUUCUUGCCCUUUCUCAAAUUGGCACUGUUGUUCCAGUGAAGGACACUUGAGGACAUACAGAUAAGAGAGGGAGUUUGGCCGUCUCUCUUUUGUCAAGUAUUGGAGCUUAGGGCACUUGUAGAGAUCUAAGGUUUCAAGAGUGGUGAGGUGGUGAAGACCCGCUUAAUAAAAAUUAAUAAAAUAAAUGAAUUUAUUAUAUCUGGAAUAUGUAUAUAUGUCUUAUCUUAGGAUUAAUAUAUAUUAAAUAUCCAUUAAUAGAAAACCCAUUUUUUCUCUUUCCACAAUCUAAUCCUAAUACGAAAAAUCUUGAAAUAUUAUUGGUUUUCUAGCUUUCUUUUAAUUUCUCUAAAAUUUUUCAUUAAGUAAAUAAAUUUGGAAUCAAACUAUACCUCAUAGGUAAAAUUUAUUAAUUUUUAAAAUUAAUUUCAAACUCAAAAACCAAUUUAAUUAGUACUAAAAAGUCAAAAACACAAUAAUAUUAUAAAUUCAUAGGUCAAAAUUUAUUUAAAAUAACUUGGUUAGCUUCUUCUUCACAUAUAACCUAUUUUUAUAAAUUUUUUUCAUGAAGCAAAUAAACUUCAAAUUAAUCGAGACUUGAUGUGUUGAAUUCAUUAAUGAGUUUAAUAAUUUUUAAAAAUAAUUUAAAACUUAAAUAAUUAUGUAAUUAAUACCAUCAAUUUAUAAAUAAAAAUUGGUUUCAAAUGACUCUAUUUUUUUUUAUUUUCUAUGUAAAAUUAUUAUUUUCUUAUUUUUUUGUUUCUAUUAUGCAAAUGGACUCCAAAUUAAACAAGACUUAAUGUCAUAUUUUUAUCAAUGAGUCUAGUAAUUUUUAAAAAUAACUUAAAACUUAAAUAGUGAACCAAUUACUAUUAAAAAUUUAUGGACAAAAAUUGAUUUAGAAUAAUUUUAUUUAUUCUUUUUCUUUACAUAAUCAUUAUUGUCCGAUUUUUUAAACAAAUAAACUUUAAAUUAAACAAGACUUAAUACAUCGGAUUCAUUAAUAAGUUUAAAAAAUUUUAAAAAUAAUUUAAAAUUCAUAUAAUAAACUCAUUAAUAUAAGAAAUUUAUGAAUUAAAAAUGAUUCAUAAUGACUAUUAUUUGUAUUUUUGGUUUUAUUUUAAAAAUAAUUUUUUAAAAAUAAGCGUUAGAAGACAUGUUCAAACGGACCCUUAGCUUUUAAAAAACAAUGCAAUUAUGCAUUUUACAAUCUUUUCUAAAGGUAAUUACAAAUUGUUUUAGUUGUUUUUCCACCUUUCAACCCAAAAAAUUGUUGAAAAUAUAAAUAAAAAAAAAUAUUGUGAUAUUCAACUAUUUCACUUGAAGUUACCCAAAUAUGAAAAUAAGGAUUGAAGGGUGCAAUCAUGCAACCCAAUGGCAUUGAUUUAACAUAGGUUUUGUCCAAUUUACAACCAUAUAUAUUAGUGCAAUCACUAAUAAAAACUCAUUUUAAUGAUCAAGAUAAGUCAUUCUUCUAAUUAUGAGGUAGUAUGCUACAAUUUUAGAUUGAUUGUUCAAGUUUAUGAAUUGGUUGUAAACAAUCCAUCAACUUACAAUAAACUUAUGACUUGGAUCUUUCGUAUAACUUUUUAUACACUAAAAUCUUAUACAAUGCAAGUGAUGUAAACCCGAGUGUUCAAAUAAAUAUUAAUGUAAAUAAUGGCAGAAUAAUGGAAAUAGAAAUCAUAAUAUUAUAUAUAUAUUUAUGAAAUUUCACUUAGUUAAAUCAUGUUAUAUUUUUAAAGGCUUUGAUUUUUUUAAUUGGAUCUUGGGCUUUUAGGAUUUGAUCUUGGGUUUUAGUUGUUUCAUUCGAUGUUAGGCAUUUAUAAUUUUAUUUGGGAACAAUUCAUUUGAUCGAGGCUUCAAUUUUUUGAUGUGGGCUAUAGGCUGUGAUUAUUUCGGGCUUUGGGUUUUUGUGAUUUGGGCUAGUUUUGAUCAUUUAAUUUGUUGUUUUGGGCUUUGGUUUGGAUUGAUAUUUGAUUAGGCUUUGGGUAUUGGAUUUGUUGUUUCUUAAUUUGGAAAUAAUAUUUGACAUUGGCUUUUGGGCUUCGCUUUUAAUAUGUAGUUUUGACCUUGGUUAAUUCCUAUUUGAGCCCCUGGUCGGAUUAUUUCAUUUUGGCCUAUUGAUUUGUUGACUUGGACUUUGUGUUUGUGCUUGUUUGUGAUUUAGGCUUGGUCUAUUGUUCUGGGGUUUUAGUUUGAUUGUGGGCAUUUGUGUAUUACUUUGGGCUUGGCCUUUAUAAUUGUUUUGAAUUUAUUUAUGGUAUGGGCUUGGUUGUUUGAUUUUGACCUUCUAUAUACUCUAUUUGACCUGGGCUUAGGGCUUUCAUUUAGUUUAUUUGAGCUUGGUUAAUUUGAUUUGGAUUUGGGCCUGUUAUAACUUGUAAACUAUUUAGGCUUGCUUUUCUUUUAUUGAACAGAAUCAACAAAAGUAAGGUGUAUAUUUUUUUAAACAAGCAGAAUACGCGCAUUCAAAGUUUUGAAAAAUAGUUUUGAAAAAUUAAUUUUAAUCUUUUUUAUGUAUAUAAAUAUUUUCCAAAAAUAACUUUAUGAUAUAUAUUUCUUCAAGCAAUCAUAAACGAAAAAAAAAAAAAACAAAUGAAAAUAACCGAAAACAACUCAUAUAUUUUUUCAAAAAACACCUAAACCGGCUUGCUUUUUUUUUUUUUUUUUUAUCAAACAGUUUUCCUAUUUUCUUGUUCUUAAAUAUAGAUAAACAAAAGUGGUUCAUUGUGACCCUAUCAUUUGUCUUUUGUUUUUUAAUUUUAAAAUAGGUUUUAAAAACAAGUAGAAAAAUAUGAUGAAACGAACCCUUAUCUUUUAAAAAAUAAGGCAAUUCAAAAUACAUUUUAAAAGGCAAAUUAUAAAUUUCUUUAGUUGUUUUCUCAUCUUUGAAUCGAGAAAAUUUGUUUGUACGAUCUUUCCAUCUAAUUAGUCCCUUGAAAUAUUUGUCCCCUUUUUCAGUAUUAUCAAUAUAUUUAUGACUAUUUGAAUGAAAAUAUAAGAAAAUAUCAUAAAUAUUCUCAUGAAACUCCUUGAUAGCAAUUAUUUCACUUAUCAGUGAAAAUAAAGUUACCCAAAUAUAAAAAAGGAUCGAAGGAUGCAACCCAAUGGCAUUCAUCGAGAUGGCAAAGUUUGAUACAAUUUGCAAAUACUUCUAUAUAUACUCAUCUUAUCUUAUAUUUCAUUGAAUAUAAGAUAAGAUAAAUUAAUGGAUAUUUAUCAUAUAGUAUCCCUACCAAAAAUGUCCCCUCCUUUAUUUGAACUCAUGGUAGGUGAAAGAAUGUAUUUUCGUGCAAAUGAUAACAAGGCAAUGAUUCGAGAUCAUGAAUAGAAAGAAAUUCCAAAAGCGCUACACAGUAACCUUCCUCAUGGUUGGCCUUAGAGCUGAAUCCUCCUGAAUGCACCAAAUGGACACCAUCACUAGCCUCUCCAACCUCUUCAUAUCAUUCAUAAUUUGCAUCCUCAUCAUCUUCCACCAACUUCUCCAACUUCCUUUGCACAAACAGUUCAUAAUCUCGAUCCAUUAGAGCUUCCUCUCCGUCUUCCAUAUGAAAGAGGAAAUCUUCUUCUAACACAUUGUCUCUAUAAAUGGCUACUUUGCAUAAGCAAUCCUCUUUACAUGACUCUUUAUACUUCUCCUGCUCAACCAAUUUGUGUUGUUUAAUUCUUUCAACUCCACUUCAUCCUUCGCUUUCUUCACUUUCUUCGCUUCAUCUUCAUCUGCUUGGCAACUCCACUUCACUCUCACUCUCAAGAACAAAGUUACCGAGCAUGGCAGCAUGAGUAACCCCUUUAACAGCCGACUAAGUUCUCCAAAGCUCAUAUCCUCAUUUGUCAGCGAGUUUGAACUCCCCAUUUUUGGUGAGUUCAAUUUUUGUACCCUUCUGCCACUUCUUUAUCUGCAUACCAAAUUAUUGUUUGGUAAUUCAUGUUCGCUAAUUGCAUAUAGAACAUAAUUAGCCCUUUUAAAAAUAAUAAUUAAUAUGAUCAAUCAUCUUCUAAGAUGGCAUGUUACAUAAAAGGUAACAAGAUUAUGCUACUUUUUAAAAUUUUUCCUUAGGGUGUCAAUGUCAUAAUGUGGGUACAAACUGACAGUAUAGGAACAAGUACAUUGAUAAAAAUUAAAAGAGAAAAAUUCGAAAUUUAUUCAGAGAAGUAGCAUCAAUUGCCUAGGGAAUAAGUGCCUGCAGAUGUUACUCCUUAGUCCCCAGUAUGCUUGAAACAAACUGGAGACUGAUCAGUUUCUUACAGUAUCAGAAGACGGCAGCCUAGCUAUAGCUAACCACACAAAGAGAUUGAAGAACACUGAGCUGCCAAGUAGUAGUGACCCAACAAGAAUCAAGGUAGACUUAUCUGGGCCUGUCUGCAAGCCUUUUGCUCUGUUUUCCACAGGAAAGAAGGAAUCUCUUCUGCCAACACAUUGUCUGUAUAAAUGGCUACUGCACAGAAGCAAUCCUCUUCACAAGACUCUUUAAAACUUCUCCUUGUCAACAAUCCGUCUAAUCCAAAGUUCAUAAUUGGAGAUUUGCCAGUCUAUGUUGUUAUUCUAUGAACUCUACUACCUGCUUGGCAUCUGGACAUUGGAAAAUUUGGUCUUUAAAAUAUGGAGCCAAGAAAGAAUGCCUACAUAGGCACUCACAUCUGAACAACCCCCUCUCCCCAUCAAACAAUACAAUAGCUGUUGAAUCCACAAAUCCCGCUGCCACUGCCACUUGCAGCUGCAUUGCAAUUGUCAUCAGUAAUUGCCUGCAGAACAGACCAAGAAGUAUUAAUGCAGUUCCAAUGGUUUGCAGUGUUCUGUUUUCGGUGCUUAUAUAAUUAAAAUCAAGUGUUGUCUUGUAUUAAAAUCACUCCCAAAAUCUAUCUUCUGAUAAGAGGUUAACUUAUGUGGCAAGAUGGUAUCAGUGGGAUUCUUGAAGCACGCCCAGGCGCAAAUAACUAAAGCCAUAUUUUCAAAAAAAUUUGCUUACCAACCAAGAAAAACCUGGUAGAAUUAGCAGGUCAUUCAAGUACAUGUGGUUUUGGCCUCUUAAAUAUUCAAUCACAGGUACAUUCUAUAUGAUUUUAAGCGACUAGAGAAGAAUGAAAAAGAAAAUUAUGAGAAUGUCAACCAGUGUGGAAACUAAUUUCCUCAAGUAACUUCUCUCAAUAUCAUUUUCCUUUGUGACAAUAUUAAAGACCUAUAGUUACAAGUUACAACUUAAUUUUCAUCUCCGGACUUACCAUGUGAACAUACUUGAGUCUGAUUGUAACUCGACCCAACCAAGCAAGGGUCAUCCAUACUUGAUACCAUUGACAUUGGUUGAUGGAAUUGAGUCACGGGCUAGUCCAGCUUGACUAAUAGUCAAAUAUGCUCUCAAAACGAACUUUCCUGAGAUUGAGAACAAACCUUGUAUCAUAAAAAGUUCAUAAAAAUAAAUCUGGAGAACAUUUAAUAUAGUCAACAACCAACUCUUGUUCUUCAUAAGAGGUGGUGAAUUAGCUCAUAAUGUAGAAGAGUAAAUUUUCUAAAGCAUGAAAAUGGGGGAAUAAGCUCAAAAUCAUCAUUUCUAUACAAAAUCAGAAAGUUCAAUGAGAGAAUUGCAUUCAAUUACUUUAAGAUAAUAACAACAUCAAAAUAAAAAACAGAACCACAAAAGUCUUAUAGUCAAGACAAUUUAAUUACAAUAUUCGUCGUGGGAAUUUUGCGGUAUAAACCCUCAUUUAGACUUGGACUUUUUAAUUUUCUUUAUGAAUAAACAAUUGGCUCCUGCUCAAAUGAAAAAUGAGAACCAAUGCUCAUAGUCACAGACAGAAGUGUAGGCAUGGCAAUACCAAUUUUGCAAAUGAUCAUUUGGUCAUAGUCAAGACCUAAGAAAAGCCAAAACAAGAACAAUAGAACAUCAAAAUUGGGACAGAAACAUGUGUAGCAACUACAUAAUAAAGAUUUGUGUCAAUCUGCUCACCUUUUGAAGGUGGUCCACUGGUUUAGUGCAAAAUAGACUGAUUUUUUCUUUACAGGGGCCCUCAAUCAGUGUUGGCUGCUGAACUAGAAGAGAGUUCAGAUAACUAAAAAAUUCUAUAAAUUCAAUACCAUAAAAUACCUCACAUAAAAAUGUUGCUUUUGGAACUGUAGUUUUCCAAAUGUUCUCAAAUUUAAAAAUACAUUGGCAUAAAGUUAUUGAUGUUUACCUCAUAUUUUUUUCCAUGGUCAUAUCAAACAUUGUUCUCAUAGUAAGUCUUCUAUGUUGAUCCUUGUUGCUUAAUAUGAAACACAUAAAAGAAAAAGUGGUGAUCAAUUUAUUUUGAUAUCGAAGGGAGCAAAGUCACAACAUGUACAUUACAUAUGUAGCCAACUAAGUAUAUAUUAUGAUGUGGGUAAGAUUCAAUACAUAUUUCAGUAACCAUGAAUUACCUAAAAAUGUACACGUGUUCUUACAGGAGAUAAACACACAAGUAGUUAAGAGUCAUCUUUGCUGGGCAACCAGGCAAUUGAAAAAAUUUGGUCUCUAAAAUUUGUAUCCAAGAAAGAAUACCUAUACAGGCAACAGUCUGGAUAGCCUCCCCUCUUCAUCAAGCAAUACAAUGGUUGUUAAAUCCACAAAUCCCACUACCAUGGCUACUGGUGUCUAUGCUGCAAUUGUCAUCAAAAUUGCCUGCACGAUAGACCAAGAAGAAGCAUUUGUUUUUAAAAUCAAAAGCUUCUAUAUAUAAGUAAAGCAUCUUAUACAAAAGUGUAUAGAUUUACAUUUUCAGAAAUUUUAAAUUUGAGAGAAUGAGAGUUUAUUUGGUGAAGUUUUUAAAAAUAAUUUUCUAUUUUUAAAAAUUGAAAAAAGUUUAAAAAAAUUAAUAACACGGUUUGGUUAUUCUUAUCGAUUUCCUUUUUUAAAAACAAAGUAAAAUAAAGAAUAACUUUUAGAGAACAAUUAAAAGUUAUUUUUAUCUAUUUUUAAAAAUAAUAGAAAAACACAUGCACUCUAUUAUUUUUCUUCUACAUAGAAUUAUUAUUUUUCAAUUUUUUUGGUUAAGCAAAUUAACUCCAAAUUAAACAAAACUUAAUGUGUUGUAUUUGUUAACAAGUCUAUUAAUUUUUAAAAAUAAUUUAAAACUUAAAUAAUAAUCUCAUUAAUACCAUAAAUUUAUUAAUAUAAUAAAAUAUCUUUUUUUUCUAACAAAUAAUAAAAUAGUAUAAUUUCUACUAAAAAUAUAAUUUAUGAUUUUAUUAUUAUAUUACUAUUUAUGUUUUACUAAAAACUAUAUAUUUUUUAAUUUUUUUGUAAUUACAAAAUUAUUUUCAUUUUCAAUUAGAAUUCAAUUCAAUUUAAUUAAUUAAUAUUAAAUAAAUUGAAUUUUAAAUAUUUUUACAAAAUAAAAAUAAUUUUAAAAAAAAACAAUUUAUCCAAAGAAGUCUUUUUUUAUUUUUUAAAUUCAUUUUACAAUAAUAACUUACCAAAUAUCCUUAAUUUUAUAAAACAUUAAAAAACCUUUUUUGAUUCUUCAACGUUAACAAAGUUUCUAAAAAAACAUAAGAAAUCAUGUUCAAACAAAAAGUUUUAAAAAAUUAAUUAAAGUACUUAAUUGACUUAUAUUAAAAAUGAAUAUUAAACUUAUUUUUAUAUUAUAGAAAUUUUUUAUUUCACUAUAAUAAAAAAAAUCGUUUCAUAAUUAAAAAUAAAAUUACUUAUCUUUAACUAAUAUAUAAUUUUAAUAAGACUUAACUUGAAUUUGAUUUCAUAUUAUUAUAAAUUAAUUUUAUAAAAUAACUAAUAUAUUAUUUUAAAAAAUAAUACAAAUUUUUUCAUCCAAAGUUCUUGCUUUUUGUUUUAAAAAACUAUUUUUUAAAACAUCUUGUCAAAUACUCUAAUUUUUAAAAAAUUAUAAAAAACAGAUUUUUGUAGCCCUAAAUUAUUUUUUUGAUACCUUGAUUGUUUUAAACAGUUUUUAAAAUUAUUAAUUUUUCAAUGUAAGCCUUUAAGAGUUAAAAUACAAAAGUUACUGUCACUUAAUUUUAGGCUUAACAAUGUAGGAGAUUUAAGUGUAGGCAAGGAAUUAAGCAGAUAUAUUCUUGAGAUUAGAAAUUUGGGUGGAACAUAAAUUUUGUAAAGAAAUUAAGUUUAAGCACACAACAAUUACCUGCCCAUGUGUUGGUGCACUGCCACUCCCAUUAAAAUAGCACCCAAUCGAUCACUAUUUUUGGAAUGUGAGAUAUAUAACGCCAUUCUUGCCCUUUCUCGAAUUGGAGCCGUUGUUCCAGCAAAGGACACGAUCCGACAUCCAGAGAACAGAGGGAGUCUGGCAGUCUCUCUUUUGUCAAGUAUUGGAGCUUAGGGCAACGGACGAUACUUAAGGUUUCAAGAGUGGUGAGGUGGUGAAGACCCGCUUCUGUCAAGGAUUGGAGCCUUACGCACGACCAGAUUCGUAAUUCCUUGAGAGAGAUAAGGCGUUGAAGAACAGAUCCUGUCGAGAAUUGGAGCUCAGGGCAGUUCUCGAUCCGUAAUUCUCGAAGAGAGGUGAGUUGUUGAAGCCCCUUGUUGUCAAGAGAGUUGAGAUUUGGAAGAACACAGAUUGAAAGAUGAGUUAGAGAAGAGGGCAGCAGACACUCCUUGGGAAAUAAUUCCACGCCUUCACAUCCACCUCCGAUUGUGAAAUGAGUAAGAGAGGUCAGUCUUUGCAAAUCCCAGUCCACCUGUGACGUGAGUUGGUUGCAGCGCCAUAUUGCAAGUUCCCGUAGGUUGGAAGGCAAACCCUCCCUGUGCAACAACAAUUCUGGACAAUCCGCUAAACACAGUUUCUGCAGAGAUGAAUGGGUGUGCGCCAGCAAUUUGAGAUUGGAGCAAUUCCAAAUAUCAUGGUACAUCGAGUCAAGAGCAGGCAGUUGGAUGUAUACAAGAUUAAGGCACCGAUGGAUCUUCAAAUUACGAAGAGAUGUGGGAUCCCCCUCUGAAAUCGAGAUGCAGAGCUCCUCAAGCCCCUUAAGACCAUUUAUUUCGAAAUCAGUCAACCUGGGGAAGAUGUCCAAUACUGAGAAGGACAACAAGAGAGAAUCACAGGUACCGCCAUUGAUUGAUAGAUUUUCGAGAACCGGGUGAUGGCAUCUGAACAACUCAGGUAGAAGAAGGUCCAAUUUGGUACAAUCAGAGAUUGAUAACGAUUUCAAUGUACUGGGUAAGCCAACUUUGUUUGGGGAUCUGUAAAAAGAGCAAUCACAAAUUUCCAAACUGUACAUGUUGGUUUGCAGGAUUUCCUCCUCUAGUAGAGACUCCACAGAAUCAGAUUUUCUAAUGUAGAGAUAGUGGGGUACCAGUGGAAGUUGCUUCAACUGAGAGACGUCUGAAAUUUCAAUUUUUGAAGUUUGACUAGUUGUGAACCCACAAGUUUGCCUUUUCAACUGCAAUUCACGGGCAGCAAGAACGUUGAGUGUAGGCACAAGCAGUUGCGGACAAUCUUUAAGGUUAAGUUCCUGCAAUGAAGAAAGGUGCAUUGGUAAUUCCCCAGUGAGUUUUGGACAUAGCCUUAUAGAAAGCUCCUGGAGACGAGGGAAUUCUCCACAACAUAACCAUUUCUCCCAAUUGGACAUAUCUUCAAAUGAUAGAGUUUGCAGGGAUGGGAAGGAGGGAUGAAGCGAGGAAGAAGAAUUCCCAUAAAACUCACUACCCACCAUCACUACUCCACUCAUUUUUGAGAUCUUUAUAUGUUCAAGACAAGGUAGCUGCCCCAGUGGCGGCAAUGUUGAGCAAUUCCCACAAUUCGAAAGCUGAAGGGACACGAGCUUUGAAAAUGAUCCAUCUCCAAGCCAAUCUGGAAAUGUUAGACCAGGAUAGUGUUGAAUGGACAGUUUUUUUAAAUUUGGAUGAGGUGUUAGCCUGUUGAGAAUAUCAUCUUGUAUAGCAUCAUGACUAAUCCCCCAACUCCAAUUCAAGGAUAACUCAUCAAGGUAUUUCUUAUCCUUCAUAUUCGCCUGCAAUGCAUCCUCAACACCCACCACAUUCUCCAUUUUUGAAAUUUCAAGUCUUCCUCGAAUCUCUGAAAGCUUCCACAAUUCUCCAAAUCUGAAUCCACUUUCUUUGCCCACAGUAAAAUUAGGCAAUUUCUGCAAACUUUUUAAUUGACCUAUAUCAUUUGGCAUUUCUUCCAAUGAAUUAGACCCGCUAACAUCAAGAUAGCGCAAAUUAAUCAACCUCCCCAUUUUCGAAGGCAAUUCAAGAAGAUGCCUACAUUUACUCAGCACCAUCGUUUGCAAAUUGCACAAACAACAUAUUGAUUCAGGUAAUCUUUUAAUCAUUGUUGUAGAGAGAUCCAAGUAUCGCAACUGUUUUAAAUUGUGUAUUGAAUCAGGCACAUCUGUUAUGCAGUAUCCACACAAUGACACAACACCCGCAAAGAUUUAAAUUUUGGUAAUGUAUUUUGUAAAACUCUUGUACUCAAUGAAUAAAUAGGAAAGGGUGGUACUUUGUUCUCCGCUAAGACUGUUCUGAGAUGUUUGGCUCGACCAACAGGCUCAAAACCGUCAUAGUCACUUUUAAAGUAGACCAAAUGCCUAGUCUUAUCAGAUAUUUUUUGCACCUUACAAUCUUCCAAUCGAAUGCAAAAUUCUUGGGAGAUAUGUUGAGCCGAGUCAUGUAUUAGAUCAUGCAUUACAAAGCAUGACUCUUUUGCAAAUGAUUUCUUUGUAAUAGACUCUUGAAAAAACGACUUUGCUAGAAGCUCAUUAAAACAUGACUCACCUACCUCUUCCAUUCUUUCAUCACUUUGUCCUGCGUGUAAAAGCCCUUCUGCCAUCCAUAAUAGAAUCAGCUUCUCUUUGUCAAAUUCAUAAUCCUUGGGAAAAAUUGAACAGUAAGCAAAACAACGCUUCACAGGAGGAGAAAGAUGCAGAUAACUCAAUCUAAGAGAUGGAAGAAUUUCAUGACCACUCUGGGAAUGCCAUGUUUUGCUAUUCAAAAUAUCUUCCCAUUCUCUUUGCUGGGCCUUAGAGUACAAGAGCGUCCCGAGUGCUUUUAGAGCCAAAGGCAAUCCUUGGCACUUGUCCACAAUCUUUCUGCCUAUGGGUUCAAGCUGAGGGUAAGCGCUGGAAUCUCCAUUUGGAAAUGCAAAUUUUGUAAAUAGGGCCCAACUAUCUUCAGGGCUUAAUUCUCCCAGACGAUGAGUACUGACUGCACCCAUGAGUUUUGCAACAAUUUCAAUACGAGUCGUCACAACAAUCUUGCUUCCCUCUGCUGCAGCGCGGAGUGGAGUUCCUAGUCUAUCCCAACUUUCCCAAUCAAGAGACUUUACGUCCCAGACGUCGUCGAGAACGAGCAGAAGUUUCUUGUUACCUACGCUCUUUUCCAGUUGACGCUGAAGCAAAUUUAUGUUGUCAGAGGAAGGAGGUGUAGAACCGAUUUCCUCGAGAAUUGUUUUGGUGAGGUUGGUAAGAAGAAACUCAGUGGAAACACAGACCCAUGCUUUCAAGUCGAAGUGUUCCUUCUCUGUGGCAUGGUUAUAGAGAUACUGAGAGAGUGUGGUCUUGCCGCUGCCGCCCAUGCCCACUAUGGACAUCACCUCGAUGUUGUUGCCUCUUGCGUUAUCAGAAAGCAACCAGUUCACCAUCUCCUCCUUAAUUUCAUCCCUUCCGUACACAAUGGACGACUCACCCACCAAAGAAGAGGAUGGUAAUCUUGGUGACGGUUUCUCGCCCCCACCUUCUUUCAGCCCAAGCCCAACUUUUUCUUGAGCAAUAGUCUCAAGUUUAGUAAUCAUCUCCUUCAUCCUGGACUCCAUGCUUUGAGUAGCAAAUGGAGCCUUAACCCAAGCAGGGACCUUGUUCCAGUUCCACGCCUGAUGAGUUCCGCCGGUUUGCGAGUCAGCAGCUUCUAUCUCGCACCGCAAAGCGUCGGUAGCGAUCUCGUCCAACAGGUCCUCCGCAUGAUACACAGCAUCCUUAACUUGGACCAGCCACUUUUUGACUUGUGCGUCUGAAAAUUGCUUCAUCUCCGCAUCAUUGAGCACUUUGUGGACAACCACCAAUUUCCUCUCCAACUCCUUGAGGAGGUCAUGGCUGAGAUUCUUUCGCCGAAUGAAAUUUAUGAGUUCCGGAGAAGCCAACCUGUCGAAUAGAACUUGAAGAAAAGCCGAGAGGACUGCGUCCGCCGUUGCAAAAGGAAUUCAGCGAGAUUGAAUACAGGAAAAAAUGAAGGUAAGCGGAAUGCAGAAUCACAGCAGUAAAGAGUAAAGACUGGUGUCUUUUGCCAAGGGCUUGAACUUGAAGGAAUCAUUGAUGGUGGUGGACCCAGAUGCAGACUUUUUUGCCAAACACAAUAAUUGAGUGGUGACCGGUGAGUAAACGAAAGCAAAGGGGAAAGCAAAAGCGCAUAAAAAAGCUGAUGCCAGACUCUGUUGAGUAAGGUGGGUAGUGCCAGCUUUUUAUUUGUUUUUCUUUUUAAUAUACUCAUUUCUUUUUCUACUACUAUUAUUAUUAUUAUAACAGACGAAUAUUUGUUUCAACAUUAAUAUUCCUAAUAUUAUACUUUCAUUUUUUGUAGUAAUAAUGAUUUCAACAUUUGUGUUAAUACUAUUAUUUUUAAUAAUUAUAAAUAGUAUUGCAAUUCUACAAUUACUAUCACUAUAUUUUUAUUGCUUAUAAUUAUUAUUAAUAGAAUUUAUUAAUAUACAUAUAUAUAAAACAUUUUUACAUCAAUUUAAUGGAGUAGGUGGAUGGAUGUUGAUUUGACCAUUUUUACAUAUUGAUUGAUCCAUUGUCUCAAUUCAAUGGUGGGUCGAAAGCAUUUUUAUAUCAAGUUGGUGGAGUAGGUGGAUGAAUAUUGACUGAUAAAUUGUCUCAUGAAUUUCUUUUCUGUUUUUUUGUUAAAAUUUUAUUCCUUGAAAGUUAAAACCAACUUAAAAUGCAUUGUAAAAUAAGUUUCAAGCUAUUAACUUGGAAUUACAAGAAUCAUUUUCAAUAAUUAACAUUUUUAUUUUUAAAAAGUAACUACUAAAAUUAAGAUUUAAUUAUGAUUAUGAAAAUUGUUGCUUUUUACAUUUUUAUAAUGAUACUGUUUUUUACAUAUUAAAUUUUUGGAUUGUAAUGUGACUUUUCUUUAAUUGGGAUGUCUAAAAAAGAAGUAAGAUAAUUAGAAAUCUUAUUUCCAGCACUGUUUGGAGUUCUUACUUUCUAUUGUGAAUUUGAAAAUUAAAUUAAAAAUAUUUUUGAUAAUGUUUCUAUUAUAACGUUAUAUUUAAUUCUCAAAAAAUAUUAAAAAAAAUACAAAAAAAUGAUUUUCUUAUAUUUAAUUAUGAUAUAAAAAAUAUCAAAGAAAAUAAAAUAUAAUUAAAACUAAUUAAAAAUUUAUAUAUUUGUAAAUUAUUUAAUUUUUAUAUAGAUGAGUUAAAAUAAGUUUAAAAUAGUAAAUAAAAAUAAUUUAUUUUUAUUUUCUUUCACUUUUUCUUUUUUUUUUAAUUUUUCUUUCACAUUUUCUUUCAAUUAUUUUGGGAAUCAAACAUAAUUGAAGUGUUUAUAAUAAAAACGCUUUUUCUAAAAAUGAUUUUAAGAGAAUCACAUAUCCAAUGUUAAUUUUUUUAAAAUAUUAUAAGUAAUUUUUUAAUAGUAAAAGUGAUUUUUAAAAUUUUUAAUAAUAUUUUCUUAAUUUUAUCAAAUACUUCACCUUUUUUUUUUUUAAGUAGAAGCACUUUUUUAAAUUAUUGUUAAACUAAUUCUAACAAUAUUGAAACCACCAAAACAUACUAUUUAAAAAUCAUAAUAAAUAUUAGGUGAAUGAUUCAAGUAGGCAUGGAUUUUCCUUUAUUUUAUUUUAUUUUAUUUUUUGUAACCAGGAGUGUUGGAUUAAACUUGAUAUUAACACCAAAGGCCUCAUUUUUGGAAUUUAAUUAACAAAAAAUUCCUUUUCAAGUUGAUAUUAAUAUAAAUAAUUUUAUGGAGUCCAGUUUUCUGCAAACAUACUUCUUUCAUUGAAUCAAUUUUGGUGGGUGGUGGAAUUUUUUUUUCUUUUAUUAUUAUCAAUUUGGUGGAGUCGGUGGGUAGAUUGGUGGAAUCGGAUACUGCCAAAAAAGCAAAAGCAUCCAUAGGAUGAUGCCUACCAUUCCUUCUUUUCCACUUUUAUUUUUUGAAAUUUUAAUCCUUUCACUGAAUUUGACAACCAUCUUAAAAUAAUUAUUCGGAGCUGAUUUAAAAUAAUAAGGAUCAUUUUUAAUAAUUUUUUUUAAGAAAAAAUAAUUAUUGUCUUACACUCUAUUUGAUAAUAAUUUCAAAAAAUAUUUUUAAUUUUAAAAAUUAGAUAUUUAUUAAAAUAUAAAAUAUAAAAAUCUAUUUAUAAUAUUAAAAAAAUCACUUAUUAUGUUUCCUAAAAUAACACUCGAGUUCAUGGCUGAGAUUUUGUACCGGAUGAAGUUGAUGACCUCCGGAGAAACCAACCAGUCGAAUAGAACUUGAACUUGAAGGGAAGCCGAGAGGAGUGCGUUCGCCGUACCUGUUGACUGCAAUUCUGGAGGCUGGUCUCUAUUGCCAAAAUGCACAAGCUUGGAGGAAUGAUUGAUGGUGAUGGACCCAGAUGCUGACUUUUUGGCCAAACACCAUAAUUGAGUGGUUAUUAAAAGAAAGCAAAGGGGAACCAAAGGCCAAAAAAGCUGUGGUGGACCCAGAUGCUGACUUUUUUGCCAGACACCAUUGCCUUGUGACUUGUUAGUAAAACAGAGCAAAGGGAAAAGCAAAAGCAGAAAAAGCAAUUUUUUUUCUCUAAAAUAUCUAUUGGAGUGUCCCACAUUUCUAGUCGGAAUAUAUAAUUUUUUUAAUAAAAAAAUUAUUCUAUAGAUUAUUUUCUAAAUUCAUGUACAAAUGUAAUUAGAUUUUUUAUAAAAUAAAAAGACAGUAGAUUAACCAAUGACAACCACAUACAAUUUAAUAAUUAAUUAAUUAAUUAACUAAUAUUAGGUUAAUUCAGACUCAAAUUAUUUGACCAUCAUAGUCAUGAGAGCCUAAAAGAGAAGCUAACAGCAAAGAGGAUGCAUACAAUAAAACCAAAAUUAUGUGGUAUUCCCAUCAAGCAUAUCCUCCAUCACUUCUAAAAAGCAUUAAAAUUUUUGAGAUUCGGAUAGGAUUCAAGCAACUUGCAAAGAAAUUUCCCAUAUGAAGUUGGUAAUUAUUAGGAAGAGAAAAUUUAUAAUGGAAGAAGGAUUGGAUUGGAAGUAAUUGUUUGAAGUCGUCAACAUCAUGACAAAGUUGUUGGUAACUGUGAGGCUGAGAGAUUAUUGUGGGCUCUCCUCCACAUGCCUGCCCAUGUGUCGGACCACGUGUCGCACACCCUCAGCCUUGUCUGAAUAGAUGUCAUAGUGACCAUUCUAUUCGGACCACACCUGCACCCCACCUAAGUGGGCAACAUCCCCCAACCAGACUCUGUGUCCUCUUUGCUAUAUAUAAUUAUUUUCAUCUAACAUAGGAAUGACUAAUGCGAUCUUCUUCAACCUUACGUCCAUGUUAGUGGAUUCUCACACAUUGUCCCACAUCUUCAGCAAGUUGAAACGACGGGCAGCUGCAUCAUGACAUAUUGGCUGACGACACUUGCCAACCGCUCUAAAUAAUGAUGAUUGUAAUGGGCAACCAUCAUUAUAGGAAAAGUCAAAGUGCCAACUUAGUACAAUAGUGACUCCCUCCUAAAGACUAUAAAAACCCUCCUAAAGACUAUAAAAACCCUCCUAAAGAUUCCCCCAUUUUCUCUCCUCUCUAAAGGUUCCUAUCUACCUGUGCCUGAUUUAAGCUUUGAAGGGACGUACUUGAACAACUUGUCCGAACAUCCUUUAUGCAGGGAAGAAGCUUGUCAAGAUUCCAAUUUAGCAGAAGCUCUCAAUGGCACAACAAGGGGAGAAUCCAUCUCUAGUUGACUUCGCAUCAACAAUUAUUAUUUGAAACAUCAUAUUAAAUAUCAACCUCUUAUUCAUCAAAAGAUUGGCAACAAGAAAAUUUGGCCUAACUAGUAGAUAGGUUUAAUCGCAUGGUCCAAACUAAGAUUGAAAUAAGAAUGCAAGCUUUGUGUCCACAACAUGCUUUCAUAUUGCUGAUAUACAAAACCACCGGGUGGUUUUCUAAGUUUUGAAUAUUCCAAAAGCUUGAUAGACUUUUGGAGUUGCCAAAAUUUCUAUAUAGAUAGAGUUCACAACUGUUUUGAAUUUUCAAAACACCUAAAAAAGAGACCUUUUGCAACAAGUACUUGCCAAUUUUUCAAUACUUGUAAAAGUGAGAACAUGGACUGGUGAAUCGUGUUACAUCAACUGGAAGAGAAGAUGACCAUCUUGGUGCUUACCUACCAUCUUGAAAUUUGUAACCAUAGUGUAGCAACCUGAGUUUUGGGUCAAAAUGGCCCAUUUACACAAAUAUAUAUAUAUAUAUAUAUAUAUAUAUAUAUAUAUAUAUAUAUAUAUAUAUAUAUAUAUAUAUAUAUAUAUAUAUAUACAUAUAACCAUUUUAUGAAACUUAUAUUCAAAUUAGCCUAUUUGAUGUCACGUAGGAGUCGUGUUAUAAAAAUAUAUAUAUUUUUUCAUAAUUUUAGUUAAAGUCUCAAUUGACAAUUUAUGCUUUAUUUUUAAAUUGAAGUCGCAAUUGCUAGUUGAGGUUUCAUUUUUUAACUGAAGCCUCAAUUGAUAACUGAGACUUUAUUUUUUAACUAAAACCUCAACUACCAACUGAGGUUUCAAUGAUUUUUUUUAUUUAAAAUUAAUUAAAAACUAUUAAAUUAUAAUUCAUUAAUUAAAUUAAAAAUAUAUACUUUAAUAAUAAAUUAGUCGUCAACCCAUCAUCUCAUCAGUGUCAACAUCAUUACAACCCCCUACCUUUUUAUCUCUAUAAUUAGUACAGUCACCCAUAUCUUCAGAUCUACCAUCAGUGCAAUCCCUUACCUCUUCACACUCAUCACCAAUGCAACCCCUUACCUCUUCAAACUCAUCAUUAGCAUAACCCCCUAUUUUUUAAAACUUAUUUUCAAUUUAGCUCCUUACCUUUUCAUACCCACCAUUAGCACAACCCCCUACCUCUUCUGACCCACUAUCAGUAUAACCUCUAACCUCGUUAGACCUACCUCCAUUACAACCUCCUACCUCUUCAGACUCACUAUCAGUGUAGCCCCCUACCUAUUCAGACUCAUUAUUAGUACAACCACAUACUUCUUCAGACCCAUUUUUAGUGUCUGCUAACCCAUAUGUCGAUCCCCUUUCAUUGCACCUAGAUGUUUCCUUAGCUACUUCACUAGGACCUGAGUUUAGGACAUUAGUUCUACUAUCACCGGAGUCAUUUAUAUUUGAUUCUAUACCUAUGCGAUUGACACAUCUACUCAGUUAGAUUUAUCCCCAACCAUUUUGAAAGGUAGGUGUGACCUACAUUGACUUAGAUUGCUACCUCCACCACCACCUCUAUUCCAACUCUAGCUUCAACACAAAUAGAUGUUCUUCAUAUGUCAAAUGUAGUAUCUACUACAGUUAGAAAAGAGCAACCAAAACAGAAGAGAGUACCAAUUACAUAUGAGUUAUCUCCUUGUGGAGACAUGUGAGAUUAUAUAUGUUUUUUUUUCCCACUAUAUAAAUGUUUAAUGGGUAUUUUUUUGUGACUUUGAUGAAACUACUAAAAAUUAUAUUUUGUAGUAGACUUUUUCUAAUUAAUUUCAUUAACUAAUUUUAUCAAAAAAUCUAUAUAUGUCAACUUAAGGGUGUACUAUUAUUUUAAUAAAGAUAAAUUUGUCAUAAUACAAAUAAAUUAUUAUCUUAAAUUAAUAAAUUAUAUAAUUUUAUAUCUUAUUUAUAUGUUAUAUAAAAUUAUUAUUUUAAGAUUAUUAAUUUAUUAAUAAAUAAAAUAUUCAUUUAUAAUGUCUUCUAUUUAUCAAUUUAUAUUUGUUAAAGUAAUACUAGAUUCUAAGUUUAAAUAUAAAUAAUUUAUUAUGAAAGUAUAUAUUUUUAAUUUCAAUAAUAAAUUGUAAUUUAAUAGUUUUUAAUUAAAUUUUAAUUUUUUUUUAAAAAUUAACUAGCCUUAGUUAACAAUUGAAACUUUAAUUUAAAACUGAAACCUCAGUUGACAAUUGAAGUUUUAACUAAAAUGAUGAAAAAAAAAAAUUUUAUGACAUGACUCUUAUGUGGCAUCAAAGAGACCAAUUUGAAUAUAUAUAUAUAUAUAUAUAUAUAUAUAUAUAUAUAGAUAUAUAGAUAUUAUAAAUGGGCCAUUUUGAACCAAAACUCGUAGCAACCUUGUUUGUACCAUUAGAACAAGAAAAUGAGACCAUACUAACAAAGAAAACACUAUAAGAACAAACAUAUGUUCAACUAAAGUUCAUGAUAUAUAGAACUUCCGAGAUAACACAGAUUGAACUAAAGGGGAAAGGACAAGGGGGCACAGGAACUUCAACAACUCUUUCAAGCAUCAGUAUUACCAUUCCCAUGUAGGGCCUCAAAGAAGGGUCCUCUUGGAUGCACCAAAGGGCAACCAUCACCAUCCACUCCAUCAUCGCCAUCUCAUUUCUUGUUUCAUCAUCAUUCUUCACUAGCUUAUCCAAUCUGUGCCCUCUAUAGCAAUCAUAAGCUCAAUCAGUUAGUAUUACUUCCUCGUCAUUUUCCGGCUGUGAAUGUUGAAAAGCACAGAAAUGGAAACAAGGACACAUAAUUUGCAUUUGAAACUGAGGGCAGUUUCAAUAGUCUGAACUAAAGGGGAAAGUACAUGGAGGCGCAGAAACAUCAACCAUGCCUUCAAGCAUCAGUUUGACAAUUCUCAUGGAAGGCCUUAAUGAAGGGUCCUCUUGAAUACACCAAAUUGCUACCACCACUAACCUCUCCAGCCCUCUGUAGACCCUCAAUUUUGUUCCUUUAGCACAUGUCUUUAAAUUCGUUUUCAAUGCUCCACAAUAGUUCCUUGGUGGCCCAUGGCUACUCAUACCACUUACCUUUUUCUAAGUCACCUCGGAGAUUUUGGUUGAGGGAUUAUUUGAUCCUUUAUUGUGACCCUUGGCAGCCCUAACUUAGACUUAGGCUUUUCUUGUUUUUUUAGGAUAGCUUUUAGAUACACUUGGCCCAUUAGGCACUACCCUAGGCCCACUUAGUCUCACCUUAGGCCCGUUUAGGCACACUAGGCCUACGAAGACUUUUAUUUUAUUUUAUUUUAUUUUAUUUAUUUAUUUAUUUAUUUUGUUUUUAAUUUUAAUUUUAUGAUUAUCAUUCACUUUUUAUUGGUUAUCUUCCUCUUUAUAUUAUUUUCCUUAACUUAUUUAUUUAUUUAUUAUUUUUACCAUUUUUUAAUUUAUUUACUUAUUUAUCUAUUCAUGCAAUUAUUUAACUUCAAAAAUUUCAUGUUUUUGCAAGGAAACUUACCAUUGGAGUUUAAGGAAGACGGGACUCUCCUUGGAAGGUUUUGGAGGGGAAGUUGAAAUUGGGAAGAUUGCUUUUGAUUGGAGGAUUUAAAAAAAGAAGAGAAGAAGAAAGGAAGGGGGAGAAUUUUCCUUUUUGGAAACAAAUUUAGGUCUUGAGGGGUGAUAUAUAUAGGUGAGAAAAGGAAAAGAAUAGAGAGAUUUUUCUUGGGGGGCAGAGCACACGGAAUUUUGGAAAAAAGCAAGGGACUUCGAACGGAGAUCGGGCUGUCAUUUAAUCAUCAAGAGAGGAUUUUCUCUUUCACUUCAAAGGUUAGUUUUCUAUAUAGUACUUUUAUUUAGCCUAGAUUUUUUUUUUUUUUUUUUUUGGAAAUUUUAGUUUUUGAUUAAUUCUUUGUGUUAAAGUUUAUAUUAUUUUCUUUUUAAAUCCCCAAUUAGUUUAAUUCUAAUCUAUCUUUUAGUUUAAGUUUGUUAAUGAUUUUAAUUCUUAAGUUUAAAUAAUCAUAUUGAAUAAAGUUUGUAUUUUUAAUCCCAAUUAGUUUGAUUUCAAUUCGUUUUUAAUUUAAAUGCAUUAGUUGAUCUUAAUUCUUUGUUUUAAAUAAUCACGUUAAAUAAAGUUUGUAUUUUUAAUCCCAAUUAAUUUGAUUUCAAUUCGUUUUUUAGUUUAAAUGUAUUUUGUUGAUCUUAAUUCUUUAGUUUAAAUAAUCAUAUCGAAUAAAGUUUGUAUUUUUAAUCCCAAUUAGUUUGAUUUUAAUUUGUUUUUUAGUUUAAAUGUAUUUUGUUGAUCUUAAUUCUUGACUUUAAAUAAUCACGUUAAAUAAAGUUUAUGUUUUUAAUCUCAAUUAGUUUGAUUCCAAUUCGUUUUUAGUUUAAAUACAUUUUAUUGAUCUUAAUUCUUAAGUUUAAAUAAUCAUAUCGAAUAAAGUUUGUAUUUUUAAUCCCAAUUAGUUUGAUUUUAACUUGUUUUUUAGUUUAAAUGUAUUUUGUUGAUUUUAAUUCUUAAGUUUAAAUAAUUGUAUUGAAUAAAGUUUGUAUUUUUAAUCCCAAUUAGUUUGAUUUCAAUUCAUUUUUAAUUUAAAUGCAUUAGUUGAUCUUAAUUCUUUGUUUUAAAUAAUCACGUUAAAUAAAGCUUGUAUUUUUAAUCCCAAUUAAUUUGAUUUCAAUUCGUUUUUUAGUUUAAAUAUAUUUUGUUGAUCUUAAUUCUUGACUUUUAAUAAUCACGUUAAAUAAAGUUUGUGUUUUUAAUCUCAAUUAGUUUGAUUUCAAUUCGUUUUUAGUUUAAAUACAUUUUGUUGAUCUUAAUUCUUAAGUUUAAAUAAUCAUAUCGAAUAAAUUUUGUAUUUUUAAUCCCAAUUAAUUUGAUUUUAAUUUGUUUUUAGUUUAAAUGUAUUUUGUUGAUUUUAAUUCUUUACUUUAAAUAAUCACGUUAAAUAAAGUUUGUGUUUUUAAUCUCAAUUAGUUUGAUUUCAAUUCGUUUUUAGUUUAAAUGCAUUAGUUGAUCUUAAUUCUUAAGUUUAAAUAAUUAUGUUAGAUAAAGUUCAUGUUUUUAAUCCCAAAAUAGUUUAUUUUUAAUUUAUUUGUUAGUUUAAAUAUGUAUGUGAUUUUAAUUUAUUAGUUUAAAUAAUCAUGUUAGAUAAAGUUUAUAUUUUUUUUUAAUUCUAAAUUAGUUCAGUUUUAACCUAUCUUUUAGUUUAAGUAUAUUUGUGAUUUUAAUUCAUUAGUUUAAAUAAUCUUGUUAGAUAAAGUUCAUAUUUGAAAUUCCGAUUUAGUUUAGCUUUUAUUUAUUUUUAAUUUGGAUGUGUUUGUAAUUGUAAUUUAGUAGUUUAAUUAAUCUUAUUAAAUAAAGUUCAUGUUUUUAAUUACAAUUUAAUUUAGUUUUAAUUUGUUCUUCACUUGUAUGUGUUUGUGAUUUGAAUACAUUAGUUUAAUUAAUCCCGUUAGAUAAAGUUUAAUCUUGAUUUAAUUUAUUUUUUUAGUCUAGAGGCAUUUAUGUGUUUAGUUAAUCUUAUGUUAAUUAUGGAUUGUUAUUCUCAAUUUAUGCGCUUCUUGAAUCCUUGUUGCUAAUUCUUGAUGGAUAUUUCAUUAGCUUAUUUGAUCUAAAUAUUAAUAAUUUAUUGCUUUGAUAGUUUCCUUUUUGUUCAAAGGCCAUUGGAAAAUCAUGAAGAUUGGCCUCUACCAUCACCAUUAUCAUUUUUGUUAAUUAUUAAAAAAAUUUUACUUUGAGGUUUCAUUUUUGUUUUGUUGGGUAUUUUAUUUCUUAUAUUUUAUUUUUUCCAAAUUAAUUCCUUUUAUUUUAAAAUAAAAUACUUUUCUCAAAAAAAUCAUUUUAAAAAUCUAUUUCAAAAACUCAUUUAGAGUCCUCAGGAUCAAAAUCUCUUUUUUUUUUUUUUUAUUAUUUAAAAAUAAUAUGAAACCAUAUCUUGUUCGGUUUGCAUCAUUCUCGGUUUUUAACAAAAAUUUUGGUUUUGAACAAAGACACGAAUCAAAGCUUGUGGUCCCACAUAAAUGGGAUAAUUCUGAGCUAAAUUCGUGUAUAUCAAUUGGGGAAUUGGUGAAACCCCUACAUAAGAAAAUCUUUUCAAAAAUUAUUUUUGUUGCCAUUUUUGUCACUUGUUGAAAUUAUGUCUAUCUUUUUUAGGAAUUGUAUAUAAGAUGUGUGUGAUAAUUAAUGUUUUCAUAUACUUUGAUAAUUUUUGUUAUGCCAAUUAGAUAACAAGCAUGCUAGGGUUUCUUUAUUUUAUUAUUAUCUAAUCCCUCAUGUCUUAUGGGAGCGCAUUGUAAGUUAUUUAUGCUAUCCAGGUACGCCCCCCCCUAUCGCCUACUUUCUAAAUUUUGUAAACAAUCGUGUCACUAUGAAGUAUGCAUAUGUUUGAUAAUCCUUAGGUGUUUAGAUGUGUGUUAUACUUCUAUACUAACUCUGAUGUUUUAUGAUAGCGCUUGAGAAGCGGUCCGGGUACGCAUCCUAACCUUUCUUUUAUGGCAAUUUGAUCUUGUUUAGCAUGCAAAUCUUUUGAAAUCACCUAGCCUACUUAGUAUCCAUAAUUAACCGAUUAAUUGCCAUAUUCCCCUUAACUUAAUUAGUAGAGACCUCUUUAGGGCUUAGAGGGGUGCUACCUCCUAGAGGUACCUUCCCAAUAAGUAACCUGAUCCCCGGACCAAGACUUGGGUUUUCGAAGACACGCUUUUCCAAAAAUUAUGGAGUCAUUUUUUUAGGGUUUUAUUUCUUGUUUUAUUUUCCCUUCAAAAAUAAAAAUAAAAUAAGUGGCGACUCCAACUUUUUUUAAAAUUAAUUUUUCACAAUAAAAAGUGAGUCUCGCCGAUCGAGUGGGGACGCACGUGAAAAAUGCGGGUCCACACCCUCCUCAUGUCAGUUCUUGCCUCAUCAUCAGUCUCCACAAGCAUAUCCGAUUGGUGACCUCUAUAGCAAUCAUAAGCCAAUCAGGAAGGAUGGCUUCCUCUUCAUCUUCUGUUUGGAAAUCAAUGCACCUCCUGCAACAAAUGAUUUCCAGUAACAUGACCCCCAUAACUAUAAGCGUCUAUUUUUGCUGUAAUUGACUUGCUCUUGAACCAUUCUGACACAAGUCCCUCUGAUGGUUAUAAGUGCCUGAGUUUCAUCACUCAUCACAAGUUUUGUCAAUCCAAAAUCGGAAAUCCUUGCUGUGAAUGAAUCAUCCGGAGGACAUUUUGAGGCAUGAUGUCACAGAGGAUGAUCUGUGUGCUACACUCCUGAUGCAAGUACAUCAGCUCUCUUGCAAUCUCAAAUCCCAUUCGAAAGUGGAUAUUUCUUCUUCCAGAAGGUUUCUUCUUUAAUUUAAAGACAGCAACCACACAAUUGUAGUCAUAUACAUAAGAUAUCCAGCAGAGGUCUUCACCUAAGCAUUCUAUCUUCUCAAAGUUUGCAGUGGCAGUCCAAACUAUGUUAAGACUUCUCUUGUAAGUUCUCUGGGUUUGAACCUUCUCCUUGUUCACCUUUUUGUACCAUCUUCAGCUUGCAGCCAUUGGGCUUGUUGUAUGGAUCAACAAGGGAAAACCCAAAAAGACACUCACAAAUUAGUCUUCCUUUUGAGUCAGGUAUGCAGUAACUGUUAAUUAAAGCCACAACUCUCAGUCUCCCACCUCCCAAAUCUACCUGAAUCUCAGAGCAAAUGUCCUUUGGGUGUAUUAGGACUGAACCCAGCUUCUCUUUCUCUGGAGCUUGGGCGAGUAUAUUUUCUGAAAACUCCAUCAAAAUCCAGCAUUUCCCAGUAGUAGUAAUCUCUGGUUGAAUCUGCACUUCCUGACAUGAGGAUAGCACUCCCUCUGUUUCGUAGAACAACAUGAAGGUGAUCCGAAUCAUCAAAAAUCAUCCAUUCAUCAGAAUUGCUGCCAUUUCCAGAUUAAAGGUGUUAAGGACAAAAUUUCCAUCAGGCAGCAAAAGAGGCUGGAACCUUCCCUUUGAGUAGUUGCCUUCAUCUUACUGAGAAGACGCAAUGCCACCACUUUCUAAUAUUUUAGUUGGCAAGAUGGUAUCAAGCAUGGCGGCGUAAACAACCCCAUUAACACCAGACCCAGCUUUCCAUAUGACUUGGUCCUGACCAUCAAGUGUUAACUGACCAUCAAUCAUAAGCUCUACUUCAUAUUCCAAUUUUUUUUCCAGGGAUUUUGUCAACCAGAUAGUUAGCCUGCUCGUGGACGAAAUCCAAAAGCCAAGACCCUGAUGGCAAUUUCCAUGAAAAUGAGCAAUCAGAAGCCAGAAGAGACAAUCCUAAACUAGUAUUAUACUUGGUUUCAGCUACAGCAAGAAAUGGUAGAACAAAGAGAAGCAAGAGGCAUCCAUGGCCAACAACAGGAAAAUCCAUGUUGGUAUAGAGAAUUUGGAGAACUUGUUCAAAUUAUACCACACUUUUUAAGACGAAAAGAAGGUUGAUUGCAGAGACCCUAUGAUCAGAUUUGAAGAGUACACCAAUGGAAAGUUACUGAAUCCAUUAUCAAGCUAAUUACCUAUCAAUAUCUAAGGCUUGAUUUUCCAUUUUUAGUAGAAAAAAACUGUUCUGAGACAGUCAUAGAAGUCAAUAGUUUUCUUAUUGACGGAAAACAAAAAAUUAAAGAUAUGCCAUAAAUUCUUGUUUGGAACUCAAUCUUGAAAAAAAGUAUGUGGUUUAUUCCUUGUAAAGGAGUUCUAGUCUCUUGCAUAAAUCAACGUUUUGGUCUUCCAGGUGGAUCAUAUUUUUUGAUAUCUAGAAUCCACCAAGGUAUGUAGUAAGGCAUUUAUCCUAAUAGGUUGAUCCCUUACAAACAAAAAAGUGGCUCUUGACAGAAAAUGAUUAGGAAGGCAUGCAAGUAACAAAUACAAAUUAAAUAUAAUGUAAGAUUUUCAUGGAUUAAAAAAAAUACAUGGCAAAAUAGUAUAUAUUAUUUCAACCAGGGAACAUAUGUGAAUGUUGUAUUUUUUGAUAUCUAGAAUCCACCAAGGUAUGUAGUAAGGUAUUUAUCCUAAUUGGGGUUGAAACAAACCUGAAUGAUAUAAAUCCACCCCUCUAUCUUACAUCACUUCAAUACCGAAGAUACUCAGAACUCAGAACCUCGCUAAGUUAGAAGCAUAUGUAAAAGUUGUAUUCUAUUCCAUAAGGGAAACACUCUAUACUCAGUAGCAUAAACAAGCCCCGAAAGCCACUUAUCUCUUUUUUUUUUUUUUGGCCUUUUUACUUAUUCUCAUCUCUCAUGACCAGAAGUGCUAAGGAUGAUAUAACCUCAUCAAAUAAGUUAGAAACCAGCCCAUCUAGCAGGUUCAGUAGCUGACCUGCUCUCAAUCUUCUUUGAGUCACCAAUAAGCUGGGCAUUAUGCCUCCAACAGUGGGUCUGGAAAUAUUAGAGCUGGCAGCAGGGGUGGCUGUAAAACUCUCCUUUCCAAAACACCAAGUUUCAGGCCCAGAAGUUGCUUCUGUGGCUGGUUUGUUGUGAUGACCAUUUUCUGGUCCUAAACACUAUCCUUAUCCCUGGAAAGAGGCUGCUGCUGUUUGGGCUCAUCACCAAAAGCCUGCCAUAGCUUAGAGUCUGGUAAGGGGAAUCGGAUUUUCUGUGCUGGAGUUUCCAGACUGUUGCUUCAAUCUUUUCUCUCUGCUGUUAUGAGAAGAGAAAAUAUCAGGAAAAUGAAUCGAUGGAAGAAAUUGUUUUAAAUCCAAUAGGCAUGUGUGAGAAUAGGAGAUGAUACUGGAGGAGUAGCAGUUGACUGAAGUCCAGUUGAGGUUCAGUUUUUCAAAGCAUCACUGUGGGGUGAUGGAGUUCAAGCAGCAAGAGCUUGCUUGAGUUCCUGUAUCUUCUUCAAUGCCCAUUUAUUCAGGCUUCUUCAAGUGGCUUAUGAUUGGUGGAGGUGCUUCCAUAAUCCAUCAGGGUCCAAUGGAAGAUUCUCAGCUUUUAAGUCUCUGAAUCAUACAAUUAAGAAAAAUGAAGAAUGUCGAAUAAGACAAUACAAAUUUGUGGGCAGGACCGAAAAAUGAAGGAAUAGUGGGAAUAUCUAUUAAGAGCAUAAUAAAUGACAAAACUACCAUAUGACAACACAGCAAAAAAUUCAUAAACAGCCCUGAACAAACAAUAAAUUCUCAUUUUUUGAAUAGAGAAGAACCAUUAAAAUGUGCAGGAAAUGUUUUAAAGUAAAAUCUAUUAAAAACUUUCACUAAGACUUGGACUCUUUAACUUUCUUUUCAAAUAAUCUGAAAACCCCUGCUGAGAAAGAAUAAUGAGAACCAACUACUAUGGUUGCCGAUAGAAGGGUAGGGAUGGCAAUGAGAAUUCUGCUUGUGAGAAGAUAGAAAAAGAAGAUCGUCACUUCCUGGACCAUAACUAUAGUCCAAAAUGGGAUCCAUGACAUUGAUCUCAAUGAUCAUCUCCACCACAGUAGAAAAUAUACAGAAAUUCCUAGUCAAAGUCAAGACCUAAGGAAAGCCAAAACAAGAACAAAACAUUGCCAAAAUUGAAACAAAAACAAGAGUGCAUCAACUUCCAAACAAAGAUUUUUGUCUAUCUGCCUACCAUUUGAAGGUUGUCCACUUGGUUAGUGCAAAAUAGACUAGCUUUUGUUACAGAGACUGCCAAUCAAUGCAGAUUGCUAAACCAAAAGAGAGUUCAAACAACCAAGCAACCAAACAGUUUUCAAAAUGAUUAUUGUUGUUUACCUCACAUGUUUUUCUAUAGUCAUAACCACACUUUGUUUCUCAUAAGAAGUCUUCUAUGUUAAUCCUGGUUGCUUAUUACAAUAUACAAAAAGGAAAAGAAAAAAAACAAAAAGUAGUGAUUGAUUUAGUUUGAUAUUGAAAUGAACAGAGUCACAACAUGAACAUACACAAGUAUGAUAUCCUAAAAACAAUUUGCAAAAAUCCCUAACUAUUUAUCCAUAUAUUAUGCAAAUAUUAUUUACACACUUUACUUUAAUUCCAAGCAUAUUUCAAAAACCAUAAAUUACCUAAAAUGUAUCAACAAAUAGAGUUUGCUGCAUGCCCAAAUUCCCCACAAUAGGACUAGAAAAUUAUUUCUGUAGAAACAAAUUGAGAAGAUUGUGAGAUUUGGAUUGCAAAAGGAGGUCAAGACCUUUUCAAUGUAGAAGGUUUAAGUAAUUUUGUCUAUUAAACAGUGAGAUGUUUUUAGGCCAUUGAGAACAUGAACCAAAAUAAAGAAAACCUUUUUGCUUUAGUGAAAAAUAAGACAUUGAAAUGAUAUGCAAUCAUAAAUCUUGCAAUUUUGUAUAUUGCAGAUUUAAUUCUCCACUUCUAUUACACUGGAAAGAGAAUAGCAGCAAGAAAAGACCAAAGCAAUUAAAAUUACUUACUGCCAAAGCACAAUACGUCCCUGGUUUCCUCCAUGCCUGUAUAAGAGAAAAUAGACCAAGAAAGUGAGAAAAAACCGAAGCAUCCAUGGUUUUCCAUAGUUUUCAAGUGGUUCACUUGGCUUAGGCACACCACCAAAUAAAAACAGCGCAUGAAAAUGAGAGUACCAUUAGAAUAUGACAACUAUCUGUAUCAAAAUGUGAGCACUUUGGUUCAAUCCUCCUCCACUCCUCUUCAAUAUUUGUUUCAGACUUGAAGCCUCGAAGAAAAAAGAAAUCUCUAGCACACCUGCCACCAUUAAAAAAGUCAGCCUUGGAAAACAGACAUAAAAUUCCUCACCUAAUGUUGACAUGGACUCAAACUAUCUAAAGCUAACCUAAAUUCAUGGAGAUCAAUGGCCAAUCAAGCAAAGCACAUGCCUGUGUGAUGUUUGGUUGAUCAUCUGGAGAAGCUUGGAUCAUGUCCAUCAUUAGAUCUGUCACAUAGGAGCUGCAUGUUGGUAAUUGUCGAAUGAGGAAGUUUCCAUUUGAGAUAAUAGAUGGUGAGAAAUAUAUAGUCAGAAAAAUAAUAAAGCACAUAACCUGAUAUUCUAUUGAUUGAUUCACCCAUUCACAAAUCAUUAGAAAGACUGGAAAUAUAGAAGAGCAAAUUUUCUAAUUCAAGGAGAUGGUGAAUAAUCUUAGAAUCAUCAUUUCUAUACAAAAUCAGGAAGUUCAAUGAGGAAAUUGCACUCAACCACUUUUAAGAUAAGAACAUCGAAAUGGAAAACAAAGCUUCAAAAAAGUCUUAAAGUCUAGAACAAUUUAAUUGAAAUAUUCUUCUCAGGAGUUUCACAGUAUAAACCUCCAUUAAGACCUGGACUCUUUAAUUUUCUUUUCAAAGAAACAGAUGACUUGGAUAAACAAUGAGAACCAAUGCCCAUGGUCACUUACACAAGUGUAUGCAUGACCAUGACAAUUCUUCUAAUGAGAAGCUAGCACAAGAAGACUGCCACCUCAAGGAUCCAUGUCAAUGACCUCGAUGAUCAUCUGCAGGGCAACAAAAAAUAUACAGAAAUUCCAACUCAUAGUCAAGAUCUAAGAAAUUCCAAAAGAAGAACAAAACCACGUCAAAAUUGUGACAAAAACAAAUUCAGCAGCUACCUAACAAAAAUUUAUGUCUUUCUAGCUACUAACCUCUUGAAGUUGGUCCACUUGGUUACUGCAAAAUAAACAGCCUUUCGUAAUAAGGACUCCAAAUAAGCUAAGGCUAUUAAACCAAAAGAGUGUUUAAACAAAUAAAAAAUUGACCAAUUCAGUGCCAUAAAAUACUUCAUAUAAAAUUAUUGCUUUAGAAAUUGCAACUUUCUAAAUGAUCCUAGAUUUAAAUAUACAUUAGCAUAAAAUUGCAGUUGUUUACCUCACAUGUUUUUCUAUUGUCAUAAUCGAACUUUGUUCCUCAUAAGAAGGCAUUUAUGUUCAUCUUGGUUACUUAAUAUGGAACAUGUAUAGAAAAGAAAAAGAAAAACAAAAAGUUAGUGAUUAAUUUAGUUUGAUAUUGACUGGAGAAAAGUCACAAAAUAUGCAUAUGCAAGUAUAUUAUCCUCAAAACCACUGGCAAAAGGCACCAAGUACCCAACUAAGAACAUACUCGAUUAAACAUGAAUUACCUAAAAAUGUAUCCACAUGUUCCUGUGCAUGUGCAACAUAAAUACCCAGAUGGUUAGUAUCAUUUUUGCCCAUUCCGAAAGGUAAAUUGAAGAAGUCAAGGAAAUAAGAAAAUGGGCUUUGUUAAAAUACAAAUUACCUGGGAUCAAUCUUCCUUUCCCUUUUUUUUUUUUUUUCUUCCUCUGCUGGAGAACUUCUGAAAUCAAACAAAUAGAGUUUGUUGCCUGCCCAAAUCUUCAACAACCGGACCAGCCAAUAACUUGUGUAGAUGUACAAUUCUUCAAGAGUGUCAAACAGAUUAAAAGCCUUUGAAUGCAAAAAGGAGGUCAAGACAUUAACAAUGUAGAAGAUUUAAAUAGUUCUGGUAUCAAACAUAAUAAAAUUGAUUAAACAAAACCUUAAACAAUGAGGUAUUUUCUUCUAAACAGGAUGAGCUCCAUCAUUGUGUGAGCUAUUGAGAAUAUAAAAAAUAACGGAAUCAUAAGCAAUUAAAAUUACUUACUAAUAAGCAGCGAACUAGAAUGCAUCCAUGGUUUCCUCCAUGCCUGUAUAAGAGAAAUGGAAAAAGAAAGUGAGGAAAAACCAAGGCAUCCAUGUUUUUCCACAGUAAAUAAAAUUUGUGUUCACUUGGGUUAUGCAUACUGCCAAAUAAAAACAGAGCAUGAAAAUGUGAGUUCCAUUAAAAUAUGGGAAUUGUUUGUGUCAAAAUGUGAGCACCUAGGUUGAAUCCUCAUCUACAACUCCUCAAUAUUCGUCCCAGACUUGAAGCUUCAAGGAGACGAAAUUCUUAAAUCAAAUAAAUGGAGCCAAUGAAUCAUGUAGACAUAUUUUUUAGAUUAGAAAUUGGAACAUAAAUUUUCUAAAGAAUAAGUUUAAGCAUAGAACAAUUACCGCCACUUUCAUUAAAAUAGUUCAUUGAUGAUUAUAUUUGGAAUGUGAGAUAUAUAACACCAUUCUGGCCCUUUCUCAAAUUGGCACUGUUGUUUCAGUAAAGGACAUGGGUCCACAAUCAGACAAGAGACGGAGUCCGACAAUCUCUUUCUUGUCAAGUAUUGGAACUCACGGCAGCUGUAGAUAUGCAAGAUUUCAAGAGUGGUGAGGUAGUGAAGACCCGCUUCUGUCAAGGAUUGGAGCCUUGGGCAGUGCUGGAUUUGUAAUUCUUUGAGAGACACAAGGUGUUGAAGAACAGAUCCUGUCAAGGAUUGGAGCUCAGGGCAUUUCCUGAUGUCUAAUUUUACAAGAGAGGUGAGUUGUUGAAGCCCCUUGCUAUCAAGAGACUUGAGAUUUGGAAGACCAUAGAUUGCAAGAAAAGUCAGAGAAGAGGGCAGCAGGCACUCCUUGGGAAAUAAUUCCACGUCUUCACAUCCACCAAAGAUUGUGAAAUGAGUAAGAGAGGCCAGUCUUUGCAAAUCCCAGUCCACCUGGAACGUGAGUUGGUUGCAGAACCAAAUUUGAAGUUCACGUAGGCUGGAAGGCAAACCCUCUUUGUGAAACAACAAUUCUGGACAAUACAUUAAACUCAGUUUCUGCAGAGAUGAAUGGGUGUGCGCCAGCAAUUUGAGCUUGGAGCAGUUGUGAAUUUCAUGGGACACCGAGUCGAGAGCGGGCAGUUGGAUGUAUACAAGAUUAGCGCACCCCUUGAUUUCCAAUUUACGAAGAGAUGUAGGAUCCCCCUCUGAAAUCGAAAUGUAGAGCUUCUCAAGCCCCUUAAGACCAUUGAUUGUGAAAUUAGUCAACCUGGGGGAGAUGUCCAAUAUUGAGAAGGAUAACGGGAGAGAAUUAUCGUAGGUACCGCCAUUGAUCGAUAGAUUUUCAAGGGUAGGGUGAUGACAUCUGAACAACUCAGGUAGAAGAAGGUCCAAUUUGGUACAAUUAGAGAUUAAUAGCGAUUCAAUGUAGUGGGUAAGCCACCUUUGCUUGGGGAUCCGUAAAAAGAGCAAUCACAAAAUUCCAAACUGUACAUGUUGGUUUGCAGGAUUUCCCCCUCUAGUAGAGACUCCACAGAAUCAUACUUUGUAAUGGAGAGAUUGUGGGGUACCACUGGAAGUUGCUUCAACCGAGAGACGUUUGAAAUUUCAAUUUCUGAAGUUUGAAGAGCUGUAAAGCCACAAGUUUGCCUUUUCAACUGCAAUAUGUGUAAAUCCUAAGUUUCAUUAUCCACUCACAACCAUAUAGAUAUUGUUUAUUUUGGGUCUAAUAAGACCUCAUAACUUUAAAAUACGUUUACAUGAUUAUAAACAACUCAUACAUCAGACAAAGGUCAAAAAUUGACUUUCAUACUAUUUCUUACAAUCCAUUCUCUCUUAUAUAAAUAUUAUCUAUUCUGGAUCUAAUGAGCUCUUAUAGUUUUAAAACACACUUAUAUACUUAAAAAAAUUCAUGUACAUAUGGUAUAUAUGAGAAACUUUUAUACCAAUAUGAUGUGAGAUAUCCCACUAAAAGAGUAUUAACAAGUCCAUUAAUAAAACUCAUUUGAAGAAUUAAUGAAUUAUCAUGCAAGUACUAAUAUCAAAUGAUGUAGAACCACAUACAUUCCUAAAAGUUUAAGCUAAUGGGAGGUAGAGAUAGAUCUUAUAUCCUGUUGAUUACUAAUAUUGGUUGGAUUGACCUUAUAUAUAUAUAUAUAUAUAUAUAUAUAUAUAUAUAUAUAUAUAGACACAUACGUAGGAGGAAAGAAAGUUCAAUAUGAGCAAUUUUAUUUACCCAAGUUCUGACUUUGCAAGGAGCCGGGUAAUAAAACUAAAGUGGUCUACAUCCCUAAACUCACUGUUAUGAGUAGUAAGACCAUGAACCCAAUUAGAUGUGAAUAACAUUUUCUAUCGAGAGAUGACAUAUACCCAUGUAUGCCUCCACCCCACUCAUUAAAACCCCCCAGCAUGCAUACCGUGUGCAUGCAGUGUGCCAUCCAUGGAUAGAUCCUGUCCUUUUGGAGGAACACACAAUGACCAGCCCUGUAAUUGGAAUUUUGUCAAUCAAUACAGCACCUUCAGGACCAUGACCACAUGGCAUGACAGCAAGAAAUAGCUAGCCCUACAAACUAAAGGACCCACGAAAUGGACCAUCUAAUAACAAAAUACCAAGUCUAGCUACCCAGAAGAUGUGGUUGUCUUCCUUGUUUCUUUUGGUGGAAAUCAGAAUAAACCAGAUCACCAAACUUGUGGGCAGCCUGACUUUCAUAUAUAUACUCUGACCAUUCAGUUUGGUUUCUCCAAUAUUUACCAAAAUGAAAACCCCAAUUAAGAAAUCGAAGACGAGGAAUCUUAUAUAUGACUAAGCAUCCAUCACAACGGAAAUCUUAAACAUUGAUUGAAAUAUAAACAAGAACACAGGAAACUGUAUUUUUCAUACAUGAUAAAAAAGUGCAAUAAUUCAAGAUGAACUGAUAAAAAUUCCAAAGGGGCGUGGGGGCACAGAAACUUCAACUACACCCUCCAACAUCUGUGUAACCUUCCUCAUGGUUGAUGUCACGCCCCAAGACCCACUCCAAGGGUGUGACGGUCAUUUCACACCUCAAACCCGAAGGCUUAAAGUAUAAUCUGACCCAAACAGUCAUAUUGUAACUGGAUGUUACCAAUUACCAAAUACCUGCUCAGAGUAGCGGAAACAAAAUCUAAAAUCCUCAAAAUUCAAUUUCCAAAUAACUUCCAAAUACCAAAUGAUCCAAAAUAACAUAACUAAUAGUUAAACAAAAUCCAACAUAAAAUCCUAAGUCAAAUCCUAAUGAUGACCAUUCCUCAGCCUAGCCAUCACUCCUCACCCGAACUAAGAGUACCUGAAAAAUUUUCAACAAUUGGGAAUGAGCUCACAGCCCAAUAAGGAAUAUUAAUGCAGUUCAUGGAUCAAAUAUUUUCAUUUCAAAUAAGAGAUAUCAUUUUUUUUUUCUCAUCAAAUAUCAGAGUUUCAAAAAUACCAAUAUAUUCAAAAUUCAACCAACCAAUUUCAUAUCAAAUUCAAACACUUUCACAUAAGAUUCAAUCAAAUCCAUUCAAAUUUUCAUUACUCUGGUUAUCAAAUAUCAAAUGCCCAGUUAGGUGGGACUUUUCAAAUGGGUGGCUAGCCUCAGAUUGUUCCUGGUGGACGAAACCAAACACUACUAGUACUAGUAACCUCUAACCAAACCCCUAGAGGCUGGGGUCCAAAUCAAUUACAUUCCCACCAUGAAAUGUAAAGGUCAACUAUUAUAUCCCGUUGACAGGGCCGAAUAGUCAACUAUUAUUUCCCGUUGACAAGGGCCAAAUAAACCAGAGUGAUGUUCUUGUUCAAGUAUUCAAAUUUACACAACAUAUUAUCUCCAUAUUUUGUGUCAUAAAUAAAACAAAAUAUUUCAACAUAAUAUUUAGUGCAAAACAGUUUGAUCCAUGCAUGGUAACAAAAUAUCAUUUUCUUUUCCACAAUUCAAAAUAACAUAUAAAAUAAUUUAAUUUUAUAAAUAUUGCAUUAACUUCCCUUACCUCAAAAGAAGUCCUUGAAAGCUUGGGAGAAGAAUAAUUCUGAAAAAAAAUAUAAUCUACUCUUCACCUAAUAUAACAUAAGAGAAACAAUUAUUACUAUUUAUUUAUAAUUUAACAAAUCUAUUCCUUAUUUAAAUAAAACUAAUAAAUUCCCAAUUUGUUUCUAAUAACACAUUACUAAUUUAAUUAAAUUAUAACUUUAUUUCAUUAUAAAAUUCUAUAUAUAUAUUGCUAAAUCUCUUAUUCUAUUUAUUACAAAAAUACCAUUAUUACUAUUAUCUUAUUUAUUAAUCUAAAACUAAAUAUCAUUUUUUUUUUUUUUUAUUAUCCAAUUCAAUAGCUACCUAACCAUUACUCAUUCUCGGGUACACACCAAAAAGCAAGUUUUUUUUUUUUUUUUUUUUUUUGCCUAAUGAUGAUUCAUUAUAUAUAUAUAUAUAUAUAUAUAUAUAUAAGCCUCCAUAGCCCUCUGUCAUGCCCCACCUGCUUUUUUUUUUUUUUUCCUUCCUUCUUCCUUCCGGUGUGCACACGUGUCUCUUCUUUUCUUAUCAUUAUUAUUUUUUUUAUUAACUUUUUCUAAUCCCUUCCACCACAAAUAACAAUAUAUUUAUUUACUCUUUUUUUUUUUAAAUUAACCCUAAUCUAAAAUCGAAACCUUCCAAGGAACCCCUUUUUUUUUUUUUUUCAUCUAAUAAAACUUAAGAUCUCCCAAAUUCCAAUACUAAAAUCAAAAUCUUAGAUUUUCACUAUUUGAUAUUAAAACGAAUAAAAAAUAAUCUAACCCUAAUCUAGAUUUGGGGUUUUCCAAAAAAAUAUAUCUAAUGUGUUUGAAAUUAAUCAAUGAAUCUAAAAUAUUAAACUAGGGGUUAGAAUCUUACCUAUAGAGAUCUGUUCUUCAACCCUGAAAUCUGACUCCAACCUUACAUUCUCUGGAAUUCUACGAACAGGAACUCUAUUCAGAAAAGAAGGGAAAUAAUAAAAUUUCUAAUUUAUACCUAGGGUAUUUAUUUGUAAAAUUACACUUUUAGCCCUCUUCCACUUUAUUAAAUUAAUUAUUUAACUAAUUAAAUUAUUAAUAACAAUUUCCUAAAUUACCCUUAAAAGAAAAUGUCUGGGCGUUACAUCCUCCCCUCCUUAACAAAAGUUUAGUCCUCUAAACUUGACAUACCUGAGUCUUGGAAUAAUUGAGGAUGUUUUUCUCUCAUCUCUUCUUCUAACUCCCAAGUGGCCUCUCGGAUACUAUGAUUGCUCCACUGGACCUUUACCAACUUGACAAUAGCAUGUUGUAGUACCUUAUCCAUCACAUCCACAAUUUGAACGGGUACCUCUUCAUAGGUCAAGUCUUCAAAAAUUUGAAUAGGCUCCAACUCCACAACAUGAGAAGGAUCAUAAAUAUACUUCCUUAGAGUCGAAACAUGAAACACAUUAUGAACCUUAGACAGACUUGGGGGUAAGGCUACUUUAUAUGCCAAAGUGCCUACUCUUUCUAAUAUUUCAAACGGACCCACAAAACGAGGACUAAGUUUUCCUUUUCUCCCAAAUCUCAUCACAGACUUCAUAGGUGAAACUUUCAAGAACACAUGAUCACCCACCUCAAACUCCAAAUCUCGCCUACGAUGAUCAGCAUAACUCUUAUGUCUAUUUUGAGCUGCUUUUAAUAUUUCUUUAAUCAAAACAACUUUUUCAACAGUCAACUGCACAAGUUCAGGCCCCAAAAGUUUCCUUUCUCCAACAUCAUUCCAACAUAUAGGAGAUCGACAUUUCCUACCAUACAAUGCCUCAAAAGGUGCCAUCCCAAUGCUAGCUUGAAAACUAUUGUUAUAGGCAAACUCUACUAAAGGUAAAUGAUCAUCCCAAUUACCUUGCAGGUCCAAAAUACAAGCUCUCAACAAGUCUUCCAAAACCUGAAUUACCCUUUCUGAUUGGCCAUCAGUUUGAGGAUGGAAAGCAGUACUAAAACUCAACUUAGUGCCCAAAGCUUUUUGUAGACUAUGCUAGAAUCUAGAAGUGAAACGAGGAUCUCUGUCAGACACUAUAGAAACUGGUACUCCAUGCAUUCUCACAAUCUCCUUCACAUAAAGAGAAGCUAAACGAUCUAAAGAAAAGUUGACUUUCAUAGGCAAAAAGUGAGCAGACUUUGUCAACCGAUCAACAAUCACCCAAAUAACAUUAUUACCCCCUAAGGUUCUUGGCAAUCCUAUCACAAAAUCCAUGGUAAUAUGCUCCCACUUCCACUCAGGAAUAGCAAGUGGCUGUAAAGACCCUGCUGGUCGCUGAUGUUCAGCCUUCACCUGUUGACACACUAAACACUGAGCCACAAAUUGUGCAAUAUCACGCUUCAUACCUGACCACCAAUAGUUUUGCCUCAAAUCCUUGUACAUCUUUGUCUCUCCUAGGUGGAUUGCAAACUUGGAACAAUGAGCUUCCUCUAAAAGCUCCCUCCUUAAGUCUUCAUCAUUUGGGACACAAAGUCUAGUCCCAAAUCUCAAGAUCUCAUCAUCUGACAAAACAAAAUCAGGCUUACUGCCCCUCUUAACUUCCUCCAUAACUUGCACUAAUUGGGAAUCAUUCUUUUGUAGGGUCUUAAUUCUCCCAACUAAGUCUGUUGUACUCUGAAAUUUGCUACAAGUGCUCCUAAGCCCAUAACUCGAAAGUGGACUUGUAAACUCCUCAACUCUUCAAGUAACUGCCUUUGACAACCUCUAAUAGCUGCUAGAGAACCAACUGACUUCCUACUCAAGGCAUCAGCUACAACAUUCGCCUUCCCAGGAUGAUACUGAAUAAUACAAUCAUAGUCUUUAAGUAGUUCUAUCCAUCUUCUCUGUCUCAUGUUCAACUCCUUUUGGGAAAAUAGAUACUUCAAAAUCUUAUGAUCUGUGAAUAUCUCACAAGUUUCACCAAAAAGAAAAUGUCUCCAAAUCUUAAGUGCAAAAACCACAGCAGCUAACUCCAAAUCAUGAGUAGGGUAAUUCCUUUCAUAAGGCUUCAACUGUCUAGAAGCAUAAGCUACAACUCUCCCAUGCUGCAUAAGAACACAACCCAAACCCUGAUGAGAGGCAUCACUAUACACCACAAAUCCUCCUGAACCUGAAGGGAUAGUCAAAAUAGGAGCUGACACUAAUCUAUUCUUCAACUCUUGGAAGCUACAUUCAUAAUCAUCAGACCACUCAAACUUAACUCUCUUUUGUGUCAACUUAGUUAAAGGUAGGGCAAUCUUAGAGAACCCUUCUAUAAACCGCCUAUAGUAACCAGCAAGUCCCAAGAAACUUCGAAUCUCAGUCACAGUACUAGGUCUUCUCCAAUUAGCUACAGCAUCUACCUUGCCAGGGUCAACUGAGAUGCCAUCAUUGCUUACCACAUGCCCAAGGAAAGAAAUUCGGUCUAACCAAAACUCACACUUCUUCAGUUUAGCAUACAACUGCUUAUCUCUGAGGGUCUGUAAUACAAUACUCAAAUGGCCCUCAUGAUCCUCUCUACUCCUUGAGUAUACUAAGAUGUCAUCUAUAAAAACCACCACAAACUGAUCUAAAUAGGGUUUGAAUACCCUAUUCAUCAAGUCCAUAAAAGCAGUAGGUGCAUUAGUCAAACCAAAAGGCAUAACAAGAAACUCAUAGUGCCCAUACCUAGUUCGAAAAGCAGUCUUGGGUACAUCUUCCCCUCUAACCCUCAAUUGGUGAUAACCUGAUCGAAGAUCUAUCUUAGAGAACACACAAGCACCUUGUAGCUGAUCAAACAAAUCAUCAAUCCGAGGAAGGGGAUACUUGUUCCUCACUAUCACCUUAUUCAACUCCCUAUAGUCAAUGCAAAGUCUCAUUGAGCCAUCCUUCUUUUUCACAAAUAAAACAGGAGCUCCCCAAGGUGAAACACUAGGCCUGAUAAAACCCUUGUCUAAUAACUCCUGAAGCUGAACUUUCAACUCCUUAAGCUCCACAGGUGCCAUCCUGUAUGGGGGCUUAGACAUAGGACCUGUUCCUGGUACCAGAUCGAUGGUGAACUCCACCUCUCUCUCUGGUGGCAAGCCAGGCAAAUCCUCUGGAAAGACAUCAGGAUACUCCCUUACUAUGGGUAUGUCUUCCAACUUCAAAUCACUUUCAUUACUCAUCACACUAGCCAAAAAUCCUUGGCAACCCUUCUUGAGCAAGCUACUAGCUCGCAAGGCUGAGAUCAUACGCAGUGGUCUAUCCACAUGCUUUCCUUCAAAGCUAAACUUAGGCUGACCAGGAAUACUAAACGUCACCCUUUUCUCAAAACAGUCAACAGAGGCAUGGUAGGAAGCUAACCAAUCCAUCCCCAAAAUCACAUCAAAAUCCUGAAGGUCAAGGAGUACUAAGUCAACUGGCAUUUCCCUAUAACCAAUCAUCACAAUACAAUUUCUAAGCAUUCUACUGGCCACAACAGAAUCUCCCAUAAGAGUAGCAACAAUCAAAUCAAAGUCCAUGCUAGCAACAGGCAAACCCAACAAACCAGCAAAAGAUUCUAAAACAAAAGAGUGUGUUGAUCCAGGAUCAAUCAAGACUCUAGCAAAUAAGGUGUGGAUUCGAAGAGUACCUGUCACCACAUCAGAAGUGGCCUGAGCAUCAUGAUGAGUCAUAGCAAACACCCGUCCUUGGGCUUUGGGUUUCUGUUUAUCCUCCUUAUUUUCCUCUUUAGGCUUUCUAGUGAUGAACUUCCUAUUCUCUGGACAAUCUCUGAUCAAAUGUCCUUGCUUCCCACAACCAAAGCAAGCUCCAGUCUCUCUAUAGCAUGGCCUACCCCCAUGCUUCUUACCACAAGUAGGACAAGCCCCAUCUAAAUUCUGCGCUGCCUUCCCUUUAUUCUGAUUUCUUCCUGAUGUAGACCUUCAUUGUGCUUGAUUACCAUGAGCACCAUCACUCCUAUUUCGCUUCCUUUGCUGUUCCCUAUACUGAUGAAGCUCCUCAUUAUCUUUCUUUGCUAUAAGGGCUCUGUCAACAACCUCUGAAUAGACACCAAGCUUCAGAAUAGAUAUCUUGUUCUUCAAAUAAGGCUUCAACCCAUCCUGAAACUUUAAUGCCUUUUCCUCCUCUAUAGCAAUCAACUGUGGGGAAAAACGUGAUAAAUCUGUAAAUUUGGCCUCAUACUGAGCCACAGUCAUAUCCCCCUGUUCCAAACGAAUAAACUCUCCCACCUUUUGCCGCCUAACACUGUCAGGGAAAUACUUCUUGUAGAAAGCCUCCCUAAAUUGUCUCCAUGUUAUGGGUCCCUGAUCCUCCAAAAGUCUCUUAGUCAUACGCCACCAAUGAUCUGCCUCUUUAUCUAACAUAAAAGCUGCAUAAGAGGCUUUUUGCUCCUCAGAGCAAUCUAUGACACCAAAGAAUUUCUCCAUCUUAAGGAUCCAAGCCUCUACCUCUGUGGGAUCUGUAGCACCAGAAAAGUAAGGAGGACCCAAUUUCUUGAAGUCAUCAAAAGAGCUACCCCUAGAAGAUGAAGACUGUCCCUGAACAUUAGUCCCAACAGCUCGAGCUUGGCGUUCAACUAAACCAGCUAGUGUCCCAAGAUACCUAUAGAUCCCUUCUGCACUCACGGGAGGCAAACCCUCAACUGGAGGUACAUCAUCAUUAGCCUGACUGUUUUGGGAAGAUGCAGGUCUUCUUGGUGGCAUGGUGUCCUAUAAAGCAAUAGGUGUAACUAAAUUAGUCACUAAAAAGUCAAAUAAGUAAAUCAGAAUUGUAAGGAAUAAAAGGAAUCAGACUAGAUGAAGUUAAAACUUAAACUAAUACGUCACUCAUCUAUUCCCAAAGGUACACUAAACAAGUUCCCAUCAAGAUCACAACCUAGUGCUCUGAUACCACUCUGUCACGCCCCAAGACCCACUCCAAGGGCGUGACGGUCAUUUCACACCUCAAACCCGAAGGCUUAAAGUAUAAUCUGACCCAAACAGUCAUAUUGUAACUGGAUGUUACCAAUUACCAAAUACCUGCUCAGAGUAGCGGAAACAAAAUCUAAAAUCCUCAAAAUUCAAUUUCCAAAUAACUUCCAAAUACCAAAUGAUCCAAAAUAACAUAACUAAUAGUUAAACAAAAUCCAACAUAAAAUCCUAAGUCAAAUCCUAAUGAUGACCAUUCCUCAGCCUAGCCAUCACUCCUCACCCGAACUAAGAGUACCUGAAAAAUUUUCAACAAUUGGGAAUGAGCUCACAGCCCAAUAAGGAAUAUUAAUGCAGUUCAUGGAUCAAAUAUUUUCAUUUCAAAUAGGAGAUAUCAUUUUUUUUUUCUCAUCAAAUAUCAGAGUUUCAAAAAUACCAAUAUAUUCAAAAUUCAACCAACCAAUUUCAUAUCAAAUUCAAACACUUUCACAUAAGAUUCAAUCAAAUCCAUUCAAAUUUUCAUUACUCUGGUUAUCAAAUAUCAAAUGCCCAGUUAGGUGGGACUUUUCAAAUGGGUGGCUAGCCUCAGAUUGUUCCUGGUGGACGAAACCAAACACUACUAGUACUAGUAACCUCUAACCAAACCCCUAGAGGCUGGGGUCCAAAUCAAUUACAUUCCCACCAUGAAAUGUAAAGGUCAACUAUUAUAUCCCGUUGACAGGGCCGAAUAGUCAACUAUUAUUUCCCGUUGACAAGGGCCAAAUAAACCAGAGUGAUGUUCUUGUUCAAGUAUUCAAAUUUACACAACAUAUUAUCUCCAUAUUUUGUGUCAUAAAUAAAACAAAAUAUUUCAACAUAAUAUUUAGUGCAAAACAGUUUGAUCCAUGCAUGGUAACAAAAUAUCAUUUUCUUUUCCACAAUUCAAAAUAACAUAUAAAAUAAUUUAAUUUUAUAAAUAUUGCAUUAACUUCCCUUACCUCAAAAGAAGUCCUUGAAAGCUUGGGAGAAGAAUAAUUCUGAAAAAAAAUAUAAUCUACUCUUCACCUAAUAUAACAUAAGAGAAACAAUUAUUACUAUUUAUUUAUAAUUUAACAAAUCUAUUCCUUAUUUAAAUAAAACUAAUAAAUUCCCAAUUUGUUUCUAAUAACACAUUACUAAUUUAAUUAAAUUAUAACUUUAUUUCAUUAUAAAAUUCUAUAUAUAUAUUGCUAAAUCUCUUAUUCUAUUUAUUACAAAAAUACCAUUAUUACUAUUAUCUUAUUUAUUAAUCUAAAACUAAAUAUCAUUUUUUUUUUAUUAUCCAAUUCAAUAGCUACCUAACCAUUACUCAUUCUCGGGUACACACCAAAAAGCAAGUUUUUUUUUUUUUUUUGCCUAAUGAUGAUUCAUUAUAUAUAUAUAUAUAUAUAUAUAUAAAAGCCUCCAUAGCCCUCUGUCAUGCCCCACCUGCUUUUUUUUUUUCCUUCCUUCUUCCUUCCGGUGUGCACACACGUCUCUUCUUUUCUUAUUAUUAUUAUUUUUUUUUAUUAACCUUUUCUAAUCCCUUGCACCACAAAUAACAAUAUAUUUAUUUACUCUUUUUUUUUUAAAUUAACCCUAAUCUAAAAUCGAAACCUUCCAAGGAACCCUUUUUUUUUUUUUUUUUCAUCUAAUAAAACUUAAGAUCUCCCAAAUUCCAAUACUAAAAUCAAAAUCUUAGAUUUUCACUAUUUGAUAUUAAAACGAAUAAAAAAUAAUCUAACCCUAAUCUAGAUUUAGGGUUUUCCAAAAAAAUAUAUCUAAUGUGUUUGAAAUUAAUCAAUGAAUCUAAAAUAUUAAACUAGGGGUUAGAAUCUUACCUAUAGAGAUCUGUUCUUCAACCCUGAAAUCUGACUCCAACCUUACGUUCUCUGGAAUUCUGCAAAUAGGAACUCUAUUCAGAAAAGAAGGGAAAUAAUAAAAUUUCUAAUUUAUACCUAGGGUAUUUAUUCGUAAAAUUACACUUUUAGCCCUCUUCCACUUUAUUAAAUUAAUUAAUUAACUAAUUAAAUUAUUAAUAACAAUUUCCUAAAUUACCCUUAAAAGAAAAUGCCUGGGCGUUACAGUUGACCUUAGAGCUGCAUCCUCUUGAAUGCACCAAAUUGCCACCAUCACUAGCCUCUCCAACCUCUUCAUAUCAUUCAUAAGCUUCCACCAGCAUGCCAAUUUCCUUUGCACAAACCAUUCAUAAGCUCCAUCCAUUAGUGCAUCCUCUUCGUCUUCCUUUGCAAAUGCAACACUGGAAUUGCAGCAUAGGAUUUCUAGCGACAUUCCACCAUAGUAAGCAUCAACUUUAGCUGUGAUCGUUCCUUUCCUGAACCAUUUUGUUGCAAAGUAGCAUAUGGUCCGUCUUAUGCCACCUCCUCUUAAGAGUAGUUUAAGUUUGAUCAGCAAACAACAGCUUUGCUUGUUCAAAAUCUGAAAUCCUAGGUGUUAAGUGCCAAUCUGGGAGUAUUUUUUGGGGCUUUAUAUCACAAUGGAUGAUCUGGGUGCUGCACUCCUUCUGUGCAUUAGCCUUAUUACAACCCCAAAGGUGAGUAAAGAAGCCAUUGCUCAUGUAUUCAUGCACCAGAAGCUGACUAAAUUGGUCAAUCUCCUCUGCUCGAUAUUGCCUUGAAGCCAUGGGUGGCUACUUCAAGCUCUGUGUAUGAAUAAUGUGUCACAGUAGUAGUCCCCGCUUCCCCGGUAUGCUUGAAACAAACUGGAGACUGAUCAGUUUCUUACAGUAUCAAAAGACAGCAGCCACAGCUAACCACAAAAAGAGAUUGAAGAACACUACUGCCAAGGAGUAUUCUCAACAAGGAUCAAGGUAGACUUAUCUGGGCUUGUCUGUAAUACUUUUACUAUGUCUUCCACAGGACUGAGGAAAUCUCUUCUGCCAACACAUUGUCCGCAUAAAUGGCUACUGCACAGAAGCAAUCCUCUUUACAAGACUGUUUAAAAUUUCUCCUAGUCAAUGGCCCAUCGAAUCCGAAGUUCAGAAUCGGAAUGGCCAGUCUGUGUUGUUUAAUUCUAUGAACUCUACCUCAUUCUUCCCCGCUUCCCCUUCAUCUGCUUGGCAACUGGGCAUUGGAAAAUUUGGUCUUUGAAAUCUGGAACCAAGGUAGAAUACCUAUACAAGAACUCACAUCUGAAUAGCCACGGCCGCGGCCACUAACAGCUGUACAAUUGCCAUCGGUAAGUGCCUGCAGAACAGACGAAGAAGUAUUAAUGCAGUUCCAGUGGUUUGCAGUGUUCUUUUUUUAGUGAUUAUAGAAUCAAAAUCAAGUCUUGUCCUGUGGUAAUAGUCACUCCUGAAGUCUUUGUCUUCUGACAUGAGGUUAACUUAUUUGGCAAGAUGGUAUCAGUGGGAUUCUUGAAGCUCUCCCAGGCAUAAAUAAGUAAAGCCAUAUUUUCAAAAAAAUUUGGUUAGCAAUCAAGAAAAACCUGGUAGAAUUAGUGUAGAAUAUGUAAAAACUGGAAAAUCACCAUGUUAAUUUGAGCAGGUCAUCAAAACAUGUGGUUUUGGCCUCUUAAAUAUUCAAUCACAAGUAUAUUAUAUAUGAUUUUAAGCUAUUAGAGAAGUAUGAAAAAGAAAAUUAUGAGACAAUGUCAACAAGUGGAAAAUAAUUUCAUCAAGUAACUUCUCUUGAUAUCCUUUUCCUUUGUAACAAUAUUCAAGACGAAAGGUUACAACUUACAAGUCACAACUUAAUUUUCAACUUAAGACUCUUACCAUGUGAAGGUACUCAAGUCUGACUGUAACUUGACCCAACCAAGCAAGGGCCAUCCAUACUUUAUACCAUUUGAGGUUGGUCAAAUUUGCUCACAAAAUGAACUUUCCUGACAUUGAGAACAAACCUUAUAUCAUCAAAAGUUCAGAAAAAUAAAUCAAGAGAAUAUUUAAGACAGUGAACAACCAACUCUCUUCUUGAUAAUAGAUGGGGAACAAGCUCAAAAUAUAGAAUAUUAAAUUUUCUAAAGCAUGAAGAUGGCGAAUAAGCUUAAAAAAAUAAUUUCUAUACAAAAUCAGAAACAUGAGAGAAUUGCACUCAACUACUUUAAGAUAAUAACAACAUCAAAGAAAGAAAAACAGAACCGCGAAAGUCUUAUAGUCAAGAUAAUUUAAUUAAAAUAUUCUUUGUGGGAGUUUUGCGGUAUAGACCUUCAUUUAGACUUGGACUCUUUAAUUUUCUUUAUGAAUAAACAACUGACUCCUGCUCAAAUGAAAAAUGAGAACCAAUGCUCAUAGUCACAGAUAGAAGUGUAGGCAUGGCAAUGCCAAUUUUGCAUAUGAUCUAGUCCUAGUCAAGACCUAAGAAAAGCCAAAACAAGAACAAAAGAACAUCAAAAUUGGGACAAAAACAAGUGUAGCAACUACAUAACAAAGAUUUAUGUCAAUCUGCUCACCUUUUGAAGGUGGCCCACUGGGUGAGUGCAAAAUAGACCGGCUUUUUUUAACAGGGGCUCACAAUUAGUAAAAGUUGCAGAACCAAAACAGAGUUCAGAUAAUGAAAGAAUUCAAUGAAUUCAAUAAUAUAAAAAUGUUGCUUUUGGAACUGUAGGUUUUCAAAUAAUCAGAUCUAAAAAUACAUUGGCAUACAAUUACUGUUUGUUUACGUCACAUGUUUUUCCAUAGUCAUAUCAACAUGUACAUAUGCAGCCAACUAAAAACAUAUUGUGAUGUUGUAAGAUUCAAUACAUAUUUCAAUAACCAUGAAUUACCUAAAAAUGUAUCCACAUGUUCUUACAGGAGAUAAACACACAAGUAGUUAAGAGUCAUCUUUACCCAUUCAGGAAGGUAAAUUGAAGGUGUCAUGAAAAUACGAUAAGUGGCUUCAUUAAAAUGUGAAUUACCAAGGAUCAAUCUUUCUUUACUCUUUUUUUUUUUUUUUUUGAUAGGUAAAGGAAAUUCAUUAAAAGCCAAAAAGGCUAAAGUUACUCUUCUUUUCUUCAUUAGAAAAUUCUUAAAUAUAUAUAUAUAAAAGAACAGAGCAUGCUGCAUAACCAAAUUCCCAACAAGACUAGAAAAUGAAUUAUGGGGACAUGCAACUCUAGAGAUUGUUAGAAAUUUUGAAACAUGAGUACUUGGCCAGCUACUUUGUGAAUUGGAACAUAACUUUUCUGAAUAAAAUAAGUUUAAGCAUAGAACAAAUUACUUGGCUGUAUAUUGGUGCAAUACCACUUUCAUUACAAUAACAGACCAUUGAUCACCAUUUUUGGAGUUGAGAGAGGGCAAUGCAUAUAUACAAGAUCAUGGGAUUAUGUUCUGCUUGGAACUCAAUUUUGCUUGUCAAUAGCCCACCGCAUUCUUCUCUGCUUCCCCUUCAUCUGCUUGGUUUGAAAAAAAUUUGAUCUUUAAAAUCUGUAUCCAAGAAAGAAUACCUAUACAGGCAACAAUCUGGACAGCCUCCCCUCUUCAUCAAACAAUACAAUGGCUAUUAAAUCCACAAAUCCCACUACCAUGGCUACUGGUACCUAUGCUACAAAUGCCAUUAGGAAUUGCCUGCACAAUAGACCAAGAAGCAUUUGUUUUUAAGAUCAGAAGCUUCUAUAUAUAGGUAAAGCAUCUUAUACAAAAGAGUAGAGAUUUACCUUGUGCCUUUAAAAACCACUUUUUAAGAAAUUUUAAAAUUUGAGAUAAUAAAUUUUUUUUGGUACCUUGAUUGUUUUAAACAGUUUUUAAAAUUAUUAAUUUUUCAAUGUAAGUCUUUAAGAGUUAAAAUACAAAAGUUACUAUUAUUUUAUUAUUUUAAAAACAAAAAACAGGAGGUAUAUACAGACACUUAAGGAGGUCAAAACCUUAACAAUGUAGGAGAUUUAACGGAGGCAAGGAAUUAAGCAGAUAUAUUCUUGAGAUUAGAAAUUUGGGUGGAACAUCAAUUUUGUAAAGAAAAUAAGUUUAAGCACACAACAAUUACCUGCCCAUGUGUUGGUGCACUGCCACUCCCAUUAAAAUAGCUCAAGACCGAUCGUUAUUUUUGGAAUGUGAGAUAUAUAACGCCAUUCUUGCCCUUUCUCGAACUGGAGCCGUUGUUCCAGUGGAGGACACUCGUUGAUAUGCAGAUAAAGGAGUGAGUCUGGCAGUCUCUCUUUUGUCAAGUAUUGAAGCUUAGGGCAGUCGUCGAUAUGUAAGGUUUCAAGAGUGGUGAGGUGGUGAAGACCCGCUUCUGUCAAGGAUUGGAGCCUUCCGCAUGAGUCGAUUCCUAAUUUCUUGAGAGAGAUAAGGCAUUGAAGAACAGAUCCUGUCGAGAAUUGGAGCUCAGGGCAGUACUGGAUCCAUAAUUCUCGAAGAGAGGUGAGUUGUUGAAGCCCCUUGUUGUCAAGAGACUUGAGAUUUGGAAGAUCUGAGACUGAAAGAUAAGUCAGAGAAGAGGGCAGCAGGCACUUUUGGGAAAUAAUUCCACGUCUUCACAUCCACCUCUGAUUGUGAAAUGAGUAUUGUUUAAUCAUUAUAAGAUGCCUACUUAAAUCAAUAAUAUCUUCCUCACUUCCAUAUACACGAGAUUCAAAAACUAAAAAAUAGAACAAGCCAUGCGCAUGAGAUUCAUUUAGUUUUAUUGAGAGAGUUGUGCCUGCCAUGCACACACACACCGGAUUAAAGAAAUAAUGAAAGAUGACUUAUGAGAGAGUUGUGCCUGCCAUGCACACACACCGGAUUAAAGAAAUAAUGAAAGAUGAAAUAAGUCAUAGAAGGCUCAUGGGGCUGCUCAAAGCCUCAGAGAGAGAGAGAGAGAGAGAGAGAGAGAGAGAGAGAGAGAGAGAGAGAGAGAGAGAGAGAGAGAGAGAGAGAGAGAGAGAGAGAGAGAGAGAGAGAGAGAGUUAGUUUUUCUUUUUUUUUCUAACUUUGAAGCUAGUCAUUCAAGACUCAUGGAGUUGAUUGAACAUUAUGAUAGAACCAAACAGUCCCUAUUGUUUGCCAAAAACAAUUUUGUGAAAAAGCGAUCCUUUAUAAUAUGUUUGCUUCCAUAAAGUUUGAAAAAAAAAUGUAAAAAAUAAAUAAAUAAAUAAAAAUAGAAAAAAAAUUUAAAAUUAAUAAAUUAUUUUUACAUAUUACAUGAAAUUCAUUUUAAAUAUUUAAUUCUUUGAUAUAAAGAUUAAAUAAUUUAAAAAUAAAUAAUUUUCUUAAUCAUUUUAAUUAUAUUUGACUUUUUUCAUAUUUUUUAUGAUAUAAUAAAAAAUUGAGAAAAUCAUUUUUGUUAACAUUUUUUUUCUUAGUAUUUUUUAGGAACUAAAUAUAGAUUUAUAUUAAAAGUAAUCCUUUAUAUUAAAGUCAUACUUGGUUCUAGAAAAUGGUCCAAAAAAAUAUGUUAAAAAAAAUAAUUUUCUCCUAUUUGAUUUUACUAUUAAGAAUAUGAAAGAAAAUCAAAUAUAAUUAAAAAUAAAUAAAAAAAUUAUACAUUUCAAGUUAUUUUAUUUUUAUAUAAAAGAGUUAAAUAAGUAAAAUGAGUUUAAAAUAUAAUAUAAAAACAAUUUAUUAACUUUUCACAUCUAAUUAUCUUAUCCUUCGUUUGUAAUACUAGAAGUAUCAAGGAAAUGAAAAAAAAAAAAAGCAGCUAAAUGAGAAUUUAAAAUCAUAUGUUUGAUUGAGAGUGAAAUUUGAAAUACUAAAUUACAUAUAUUUUUAUUAAUGAAGAAGAAUGAGAAAUAAUAUUUUUUUAAAAAGUAUCUAAAUUUUUUCUUACUUUUUUUACAUGUCACAAACAUGGUUGUCUUAGGUUCUAAUCUUUCCUAAUUCAUCAAAGACUAAAUUCCCAUGGUCAAUGACACAAGUACUGUAGGCAUGGCAAUGAGAACUCUGCUAAUGAGAAGCUAACACCAAAAGAUUUAGGUCUUCUCUUAUGACCAUGACAUUGAUCUCAAUGAUCAUUUCCAUGAAGACAGAAACAAAGUGCAUCAACUUCCUAACAAACUUCAGGUCUAUUUGCCUACCUUUAAAAGGUGGUCCACUAGGUCAAUGCAAAAUAGACCAGCUUUUAUUACAGAGACUCCCAAUCAAUGAAUGCAGGCCGCUAAACCAAAAUAUGAAACAAUGAGAUGUUUUGAGGUUAUUGAGAACAUGAACCAAAACAAAGAAAACCUUUUUGUUUUAGUGAAAAAUAAGACAUUGAAAGGAUAUGCAGUCAUAAAUCUUGCAAUUUUGUACAUUGCAAGAGUUAAAUCUCUACUUUUAUUACACUCGAAAGGGAAUAGCAGCAAGAAAAGACCAAAGCAAUUAAAAUUUUUUAUUGCCAAAGCUCAAUACAUCCCUGCUUUCCUCCAUGCUUGUAUAAGAGAACAUAGACCAAGAAAGUGAGAAAAACCUAAGCCUCCAUGGUUUUCCAUGGUUAUCAAGUGGUUCACUUGGUUUAAGCGUACUACCAAAUAAAAACAGAGCAUGAAAAUGCGAGUACCAUUAGAAAAUGGCAACUAUUUGCAUCCAAAAUGUGAGCACUUGGGUUCAAUCCUCCUCUACUCCUCUUCAAUAUUUGUUUUAGACUUGAAGCUUCACGAAAAAAGAAAAUCCCUAGCACACCUGCCACCAUUAAAAAAAUCAGCAUCAGUAAGCAAACAUAAAAUUCCUUGCACCUAACAUUGACAUGGACUCAAAUUAUCUAGAACUAACCUAAAUUCAUGGAGAUGAAUAGCCAACCAAGCCAAGCAUGUGCCUGUGUGAUGUCUAGUCAGUCAUCUGGAGAAGCUUGGAGCACGCCCAUGAUUAGAUCUGUCACAUAUGAGCUGUAUUUUGGUAAUUCUGGAAUGCGGUAUUUUCUAUUUAAGAUAAUAGAUGGUGAGAAACAUAUAGUCAGAUAAAUAAUAAAACACACACUCUAGUAUUCUACUCAUUGAUUCACCCAUUCACUAAUCAUUAAAAAGUCUAGAAAUAUAGAAGCUUAAAUUUUCUAAUUUAUGGAGAUAGCAAAUAAGCUCAUAAUCAUCAUUUCUAUACAAAAUCAGGAAGUUCAAUGAGGGAGUUGCACUCAACCACCUUAAGAUAAUAAGGACAUCAGAAUAAAAAACAAAGCUACAAAAAGUCUUAAAGCCAAGAUCAAUUUAAUUAUAGUAUUCUUCUUGGGAGUUACAUGGUAUAAACCUUCGUUAAGACAUGGACUCUAAUUUUCUUUUCAAAGAAACAGUUGACUCCUGAUCGGAUAAUGCCCAUGGCCACUAACAGGAGUGUAGGCAUGAUGGCAACAACAAUUUUGCUAAUGAGAAGCAGCACAAGAAGACCGUCACCUUCAGAAUCCAUGUCAUUGAUCCCAAUGAUCAACUCAGCAACAGUUAAAAAAAAAAAAAAGUAUACAAAAAUUCAGUCACAGUCAAGAUCUAAGAAAUUCCCAAAAAAGAACAUAACCACAUCAAAAUUAGGACAAAACAAGUACAACAACUACCUAAUAAGAAAAAAAUUGACCAAAAUACUUCAUGUAAACAAAUAAAAAAAGUUGACCAAUUCAGUACCAUAAAAUACUUCAUAUAAAAUUUUUGCUUUUAAUUGCAGUUUGAUAAAUGAUCCUGGAUCUAAAUGUACAUUGGCAUAAAAUUAAUUAUAGUUUCUUUACCUCACAUGUUUUUAUAUUGCAUAAUGGAACUUUGUUCCUCAUCAUAAGAGGUCUUCUAUGCUCAUCCUAGUUGCUUGAUAUGGAACGCAUGGAGAAGAAAAGAAAAAACAAAAAGUAUUGAGUAAUUUAGUUUGAUAAAAAUUUAAAAAAAAAAUGGAAAUUUAUUCAGAGAAGUAGCAUCAAUUGCCCAUGGAAUAAGUGCCUACAGAUGUCUCCCAAAGAAUCUUAAUUCAUUCGUAAAACUACAAUAUUGACUACAAACUAACCAAAAAGAUAAAAAAAUUUAAAUUCAUGCAAAUUUAUAAUAAAAAAAAAGGAAGAGAAAUUCAUUCUCAUAUACAAAUUCUAAAAGGAAGAGUGACAAGAAAAGAUUAACUAAUAAAAACUCCAAAGGGGUGUGGUGGUAUAGAAACUUCAACCUUCCUCAUUGCUGGCCUUAUUACAACCCCAAAGGUGAUUAAAGAGCCAUUGCUCAUGUGAUUAAAAUAUGAUAACUAGCUUUGUUAAAAUGUGAAUUACCGAGAACCAAUCUUCCUUUACUCGUCUUUUCUCCAUUGGAAAAUUCUUAAAUCAAAUAAACAGAGCAUGCUGCACAACCAAAUACCCAACAACAAGACUAGGAAAUGAAUUAUGUAGACAUGCAAUUCUAGGGAUUGUCAGAAAUUCUGAAACAUGAGUACUUGACAGCUACUUUAUGAAUUGGAACAUAAGUUUUCUGAAUAAAAUAAGUAUAAGCAUAGAAUUAAUUACUUGACUGUAUAUUGGUGCGGUACCACUUUCAUUAAAAUAUCACACCAUUGAUCACAAUUUUUGGAGUUGAGAGUGAGCAAUUGCAUAUAUACGAGAUCAGGGUACCCUCUGAUUUGCAAGUAACGUCAAUAGCCUGUCUGAUAUGAAGUUCAUAAUUAUAUGAACUCUACUGCAUUCUUCUCUGCUUCCCCUUCAUCAGCUUGGCAACUAAGCAUUUGAAAAAAUUUGGUCUUUAAAAUCUAGAUCCAAGAAAGAAUAACUAUACAGGCACACACACCUGGACAGCCUCCCCUCUUCAUCAAACAAUUCAAUAGCUGUUAAAUCCACUAAUCCCACAUCCAUGGCCGCUGGUGCCUAUGCUGCACAUGUCAUCAGGAAUUGCCUGCACAACAGACCAAGAAGAAGCAUUUGAGUGCUUAUAUGAUCUAGCAGCUCCAUCAGAAUCAAGUGUUGCCCUGUAGUAAUAGUCACUCCUUAAGUCUCUCCCCAUGUGCAGGUAAGUAUCUGGGUCUGAUUGUAACUCAACCCAAACAAGCAUGGGCAUCCAUACUUGAUACCUUUCAGGUUGGUCAAAUUGAAAUGAGUUACAUAUAAUGCUCAUCUCCAGUAUCGUUUUUGAAGCUAGUUCGGCUAGACUAAUAGACAAAUAAGCCCUCAAAAUAAACUUUCCCAGGUUGAGAACAGACCUUAUAUUGAGAUAGUCCACGACCAACCCUGCUCUUAAUAUAUAAGAAAUGGUGAAAAAUAUGUAGUCAGAGAAAUAAUAAAAUACAUAACCUAAUAUCCUAUUGAUUGAUUCACCCAGUUUUUAACCAUUAGAAAGUCUGGAAAUAUAGAAGAGUAACUUUUCGAAUUCAUGAGGAUGGUGAAUAAGCUUAGAAUCAUCAUUUCUACACAAAGUCAGUUGGUUCAAUGAGGGAAUUACACUCUUAACUACUUUAAGAUAAUAUAACAACAUCAAAAAUAGAAAAUUGAACUACAAAUAUUUUUGGAAUGCGAGAUAUAAAAGGCCAUUCUUUCCUUUUCUCAAAUUGGCACUGUUGUUCCAGUGAAGGACACUUGAAGACAGACAGAUAAAAGAGGGAGUUUGGCAGUCUCUCUUUUGUCAAGUAUUGGAGCUUAGGGCACUUGUAGAGAUCUAAGGUUUCAAGAGUGGUGAGGUGGUGAAGACCUGCUUCUGUCAAGGAUUGGAGCCUUGGGCACGAGUAGAUUUGUAAUUCUUUGAGAGAGAUAAGGUGUUGAAUAACAGAUCUUGUCAAGGAUUGGAGACUUGGGCAGUCCUGUAUUCGUAAUUUUUUGAGAGAGACAAGGUGUUGAAGCCCCUUGUUGUCAAGAGACUUGAGAUUUGGAAGACCAUAGAUAUAAAGAUAAGUCAGAGGAGGGCAGCAGACACUCCUUGGGAAAUAAUUCCACGUCUUCACAUCUACCAAAGAUUGUGAAAUGAGUAAGAGAGCUCAGUCUUUGCAAAUCCCAGUCCACCUGGGACGUGAGUUGGUUGCAGCGACAGAUUUGAAGUUCACGUAGGUUGGAAGGCAAGCCCUCUUUGUGAAACAACAAUUCUCGACAAUCCCCUAAACUCAGCUUCUGCAGAGAUGAAUGGGUAUGCGCCAACAAUCUGAGCUUGGAACAAUUGUGAAUCAAAUGGGACAUCGAGUGAGAGCGGCAGUUGGAUGUAUACAAGAUCCGAGCACCCAUCGAUUUCCAAUUUAUGAAGAGAUGUGGGAUCCCCCUCUGAAAUCGAAAUGCAGAGCUUCUCAAGCCCCUUGAGACCAUUGAUUGCGAAAUUAGUCAACCUGGGGGAGAUGUCCAAUAUGGAGAAGGAUAACGGGAGAGAAUUAUCAUAGGUACCACCAUUGAUCUAUAGAUUUUCAAGGACAGGGUGAUGACAUCUGAACAACUCAGGUAGAAGAAGGUCCAAUUUGGUACAGUUAGAGAUUGAUAGGGAUUUCAAUGUAGUGGGUAAGCCAACUUUGCUCGGGGAUCUGGAAAAAGAGCAGUCUUAAAUUUCCAAACUGUACAUGUUGGUUUGUAGGAAUUCGUCCUCUAGUAGAGACUCCACAGAAUCACAAUUUUUAAUGAAGAGAUUAUGGGGUAUCAUUGCAAGUUGCUUCAACUGAGAGACAUCUGAAAUUUCAAUUUCUGAAGUUUGAAGAGCUGUGAAGCCACAAGUUUCCCUUUUCAAGAGCAAUCUACGGACAACAGGAACAUUGAGUGAGGCACAAGCAGCUGCGGACGAUUUUCAACUUAAAGUUCCUUCAUUGAAGGAAGGUGUAUUGGUAAUUCCCCAGUGAGUUGGUGACACAUCACUAUAGAAAGCUCCUGGAGACGAGGGAAUUCUCCAUGUCUGCCUCCACGACAAAACCAUUUCUCCCAACUGGACAUAUGAUAAAAUGAAGAAUUUGUAGGGAUGGAAAGGAGGGCUGAGGCGAGGAAGAAGAACUCCCAUAAAACUCACCACCGUCAUAGUUCAAAUUUAAUUAUGAAAUUUAUUACCCUAAUUAAUUUUAUAUUAAAAAAAAUAUGAAUGAAAAGCAUCAAAUUAUGAAAAUUAUUGUUUUCUAUAUUUUAAUAAUGAUAUUACUUUCUACAUAUUGAAAAUUUUUAUGGUUAGAUGAUUUUCUUCAAGUGGGAUGCCAUAAAAAAUCAUUAAGAAUACAAAUAUGAUGAAUGAUUCAAGUGAGCAUAAAUUUUUCUUUGUGGUAUGGAGUGUUGAAAUUUGGGCUCCAAACCCAUUGUCACCAUGCACCAGUAAUUAAAUAAAUUUAGAAAAAGAAAGACAAAAGAAUUGUCCUUGAGUAGAUUUAAAGUUUAAUUAUAUAAGAAAUCUUUUCUUUUAUAUAUAUAAUAUAAAAACUCUCCAAAACUUGUAUUGAAAAUGUAAUAAAUUUUAAAAAUUAAAUAAAAAUUGAGGUAUUUAAAAAACUUUUGUAUGCAUUUGGUAAAACUUAAUAUUUAUUAUUUACUAACUUAAAUUAAUUUUAAUUUAAAUUAUUUUUAAAUUGUUAAUUUAAAACUUAUUCUUUUUUAUUUUAAGUGUUAAGGUUGUUUAGUAAAAUUAAUUUUAAAUUAUCAAAUUGACAAAUUUAUCUUUAUUAGUUGUAAUGAAUAUUUAUCAUUAUUAACUGUAAGUUAUAUUAAUUUUUACUAGUCUUAAGCAAUAUAUUUGUUUAUUAAAUAUAUAAUCUUAAAAUAUUGUAAAUUUGUAAGAUACACUUAAAAUAAUUAUGAUAAAAAAAUGAGUCAUCGAUGUAAAGCCAUGGUUGUUAAUAUUAUUUUAUAAUAUAUUCUAUAAAUAUUUUCUUUAAUUAUUUUUUUAUUUUAAAUUUAAUUUAUAAAAAGUUUUUAUUUUCUAAAAUAACUAAUAUAAAAAAAUUAAAAUUAAUAAAAUAAAUAAAUUUAUUAUAUAUGAGAUGUGUAUAUUCUACUAUUAAUAUACAUUAUGCCCUCCUUUAUUUGAACUCAUGUUAGGUGAAAAGAAUGUAUUUUCAUACAAAUGAUAAAAAGGUAAUGAUUCGAGAUGAACAUAAAGAAAUUCCAAAUUAAAGCCCUACACGGAAACUUCAACUACACCCUCCAGCAUCUGUGUAACCUUCCUCAUGGUUGGCCUUAGAGCUGAAUCCUCCUGAAUGCACCAAAUGGACACCAUCACUAGCCUCUCCAGCCUCUUCAUAUCAUUCAUAAUUUGCAUCCUCAUCAUCUUCCACCAACUUCUCCAACUUCCUUUGCACAAACAGUUCAUAAUCUCAAUCCAUUAGAGCUUCCUCUUCGUCUUCCAUAUGAAAGAGGAAAUCUUCUUCUAACACAUUGCCUCUAUAAAUGACUACUUUGAAGAAGCAAUCCUCUUCACAUGACUCUUUACACUUCUCCUAAUCAACCGAUCUGUGUUGUUUAAUUCUUUCAACUCCACUUCAUCCUUUGCUCUCUUCGCUUCAUCUUCAUCUGCUUGGCAACUCCACUUCAUUCUCAAGAACAAAGUUACCAUUGUCGAGCAUAGCAGCAUGAGUAACCCCUUUAACAGCCGACUGAGUUCUCCGAAGCUCAUAUCCUCCUUUGUCAGCGAGUUUGAACUCCCCAUUUUUGGUGAGUUCAAUCUUUGUACCCUUCUGCCACUUCUUUAUCUGCAUACCAAAUUAUUGUUUGGUAAUUCAUGUUCACUAAUUACAUAUAGAACAUAAUUAACCCCUCUAAAAAAAUAAUUAAUAUGAUCAAUCAUCUUCUAAGAUGGCAUGUUACAUAAAAGGUAACAAGAUUAUGCUACUUUUUUAAAAUUUUCCUUAGGUUGUCAAUGUCAUAAUGUGGGUACAAACUGAUGGUAUAGGAACAAGUACAUUGAUAAAAAUUAAAAGAGAAAAAUUGGAAAUUUAUUCAGAGAAGUAGCAUCAAUUGUCUAGGGAAUAAGUGUCUGCAGAUGUUACUCCUUAGUCCCCAGUAUGCUUGAAACAAAUUGGAGACUGAUCAGUUUCUUACAGUAUCAGAAGACAGCAGCCCAGCUAUAGCUAAACACACAAAGAGUUUGAAGAACACUGAGCUUCCAAGUAGUAGUGACCCAACAAGAAUCAAGGUAGGCUUAUCCUGGCCUAUCUGUAAGCCUUUGCUCUGUCUUCCACAGGAGAGAAGGAAUCUCUUUGGCCAACACAUUGUCUGUAUAAAUGGCUACUGCACAGAAGCAAUCCUCUUUACAAGACUCUUUAAAAUUUCUCCUUGUCAACGGUCUGUUCAAUCCAAAGUUCAUAAUUGCAGAUUUGCCAGUCUGUGUUGUUUAAUUCUAUGAACUCUACUGCAUUAUUCUCUGCUUCCCCUUCAUCUGCUUGGUAACUGGGCAUUGGAAAAUUUGGUCUUUAAAAUCUGGAGCCAAGAAAGAAUGCCUACACAGGCACUCACAUCUGAACAGCCCCCUCUACUCAUCAAACAAUACAAUAGCUGUUGAAUCCACAAAUCCCGCGACCACGGCCCCUUGCAGCUGCACUGCAAUUGUCAUCAGUAAUUGCCUGCAGAAUAGACCAAGAAGUAUUAAUGCAGUUCCAAUGGUUUGCAGUGUUCUGUUUUCAGUGCUUAUAUAAUCAAAAUCAAGUGUUGUCCUGUAGUAAUAUCACUCCCAAAGUCUCUAUCUUCUGAUAAGAGGUUAACUUAUGUGGCAAGAUGGUAUCAGUGGGAUUCUUGAAGCAUGUCCAGGCACAAAUAACUAAAGCCAUAUUUUCAAAAAAAAUUGGUUACCAACCAAGAAAAACCUGGUAGAAUUAGCAUAGAAUAUGUAAAAACUGGAAAAUCGCCAUGUUAAUUUGAGCAGGUCAUUCAAGUACAUGUGAUUUUGGCCUCUUAAAUAUUCAAUCACAGGUACAUUCUAUAUGAUUUUAAGCUACUAGAGAAGUAUGAAAAAGAAAAUUAUGAGAAUGUCAACCAGUGUGGAAACUAAUUUCCUCAAGUAACUUCUCUCAAUAUCCUUUUCCUUUGUGACAAUGUUAAAGACCUAUAGUUACAAGUUACAACUUAAUUUUCAUCUCCAGACUUACCAUGUGAACAUACUUAAGUCUGAUUGUAACUCGACCCAACCAAGCAAGGGCCAUCCAUAGUUGAUACCAUUGACGUUGGUUGAUGGAAUUGAGUCACAGGCUAGUCCAGCUUGACUAAUAGUCAAAUAUGCUCUCAAAACAAACUUUCCUCAGAUUGAGAACAAACCCUGUAUCAUAAAAAGUUCAUAAAAAUAAAUCCGGAGAACAUUUAAUAUAGUCAACAACCAACUCUUCUUCUUCAUAAGAGGUGGUGAAUUAGCUCAUAAUGUAGAAUAGUGAAUUUUCUAAAACAUGAAGAUGGGAAUAAGCUCAAAAUCGUCAUUUCUAUACAAAAUCAGAAAGUUCAAUGAGAGAAUUGCACUCAACUACUUUAAGAUAAUACCAACAUCAAAAUAAAAAACAGAACCGCAAAAGUCUUAUAGUCAACACAAUUUAAUUACAAUAUUCCUCGUGGGAAUUUUGCGGUAUAGACGUUCAUUUAGACUUGAACUUUUUAAUUUUCUUUAAGAAUAAACAAUUGGCUCCUGCUCAAAUGAAAAAUGAGAACCAAUGCUCAUAGUCAGAGACAAAAGUGUAGGCAUGACAAUGCCAAUUUUGCAAAUGAUCAUUUGGUCAUAGUCAAGACCUAAGAAAAGCCAAAACAAGAACAAUAGAACAUCAAAAUUGGGACAGAAACAUAUGUAGCAACUACAUAACAAAGAUUUGUGUCAAUCUGCUCACCUUUUGAAGGUGGUCCAUCGGGUUAGUGCAAAAUAGACUGGCUUUUUUUUUACAGGGGCCCUUAAUCAGUGCUGGCUGCUGAACCAAAAGAAAGUUCAGAUAACUAAAAAAUUCUAUAAAUUCAAUACCAUAAAAUACCUCACAUAAAAAUGUUGCUUUUGCAACUGUAGUUUUCCAAAUGUUCCCAAAUUUAAAAUUACAUUGGCAUAAAGUUAUUGAUGUUUACCUCUUUUUUUUUUUCAUGGUCAUAUCAAACAUUGUUCUCAUAGUAAGUCUUCUAUGCUGAUCCUUGUUGCUUAAUAUGAGACACACAAAAGAAAAAGCAGUGAUCCAUUUAUUUUGAUAUCGAAGGGAGCAAAGUCACAACAUGUAUAUUACUUAUGUAGCCAACUAAGUUCAUAUUAUGAUGUGGGUAAGAUUCAAUACAUAUUUCAAUAACCAUGAAUUACCAAAAAAUGUAUCCACAUGUUCUUACAGGGGAUUAACACACAAGUAGCUAAGAGUCAUCUCUACCCAUUCUAAAAGGUAAAUUGAUGGUGUCAUGAAAAUAUGAUAACUGGCUUCAUUAAAAUGUGAAUUACCAUGGAUCAAUCUUUCUUUACUCUUCUUUACUUCAUUAGAAAAUUCUUUUUUAAAAAAAAGACAGGAUAGAGCAUGCUGCAUAACCAAAUUCCCAAUAAGAAGACUAGAAAAUGAGUUAUGCAGACAUGCAAGUGCAGAGAUUGUUAGAAGUUUUGAAACAUGAGUACUUGGCCAGCUACUUUAUGAAUUGGAACAUAACUUUUUUAAAGAAAAUAAGUUUAAGCAUAGAACAAAUUACCUGACAGUAUAUUGAUGGAGUACCACUUUCAUUAAAAUGACAGACCAUUGAUCACUGUUUUUGGUGUUGAGAGAGGGCAAUUUCAUAAAUACAAGAUCAUGGGAUUAUGUUCCCUCUGGAACUCGAUUUUGCUUGUCAAUAGCCUGUGUACCACAUUCUUCUCUGCUCUCCCUUCAUCUGCUUGGCAAUCGGGCAAUUGAAAAAAUUUGGUCUUUAAAAUCUAUAUCCAAGAAUGAAUACCUAUGCAUGCAACAAUCUAGACAAACCCCCUUCUUCAUCAAGCAAUACAAUGGUUGUUAAAUCCACAAAUCCCACUACCAUGGCUACUGGUGUCUAUGCUGCAAAUGUCAUCAAAAAGUAUAGAUUUACCUUGUGUCUUUAAAAAUCACUUUUUGAGAAAUUUUAAAAUUUGAGGGAAUAAGAGCAUGUUUGGUGAAAAUUUUAAAAACUGUUUGGUUAUUGUUCUCUAUUUCCUAUUUUUUAAAAACAAAGUGAAAGAGAAAAUAACUUUUAAAGAACAAAUAACAUUUACUUUCAUCCAUUUUUAAAAACAAUAGAAGAACAUAUACACUAUUAUUUCUCUUCUACAUAGAAUUAUUAUUUUUCAAUUUUUUUCACUAGGCAAAUUAACUCCAAAUUAAACAAGACUUUAUAUGUUGGAUUUGUUAACAAGUCUAUUAAAUUUUAAAAAUAAUUUGAAACUUAAAUAAUAAACUCAUUAUUCUAACAUAUAAUAAAAUAGUAUAAUUUCUACUAAAAAUAUAAUUUAUGAUUUUAUUAUAAUAUUACUAUUUAUGUUUUACUAAAAACUAUAUAUUUUAUAAUUUAUCAAUAAUUACAAAAUUAUUUUCAUUUUCAAUAAAAAAUUUAUCCGAACAAGUUUUUUUUUUAAAUCCUUUUAUAAUAAUUACUUACCAAAUAUUCUUAAUUUUAUAAAACAUUAAAAAAACAAAAAAAAAUUAAUUAAAGUACUUAAUUGACUUGUAUUAAAAAUAAAUAUUAAAAUUAUUUUUAUAUUAUAGAAAUUUUUUUUUCACUAUAAUAAAAAAAUUGUUUCAUAAUUAAAAACAAAAUUAUUUUUCUUUAACUAAUAUAUAAUUAUGUAUUUAAUUUUUAUUUUUUAUUAAGACUUAACUUGAAUUUGAUUUUAUAUUAUUAUAAAUUAAUUUUAUAAAAUAAAAGUAAAACAUUGUUUUUAAAAAUAAUACAAAUUCUUUAACCUAAACAGCAUUAUUGUUUUUUGUUUUAAAAAACUUUUUUUUUAAAAAAAAUUAUUAAUUUUUCAAUGUAAGGCUUUAAGAGUUAAAAUACAAAAGUUACUGUCACUUAAUUUUAGGGCUAAGGAGGUCAAAACCUUAACAAUGUAGGAGAUUUAACGGAGGCAAGGAAUUAAACAGAUAUAUUCUUGAGAUUAGAAAUUUGGGUGGAACAUCAAUUUUGUAAAGAAAUUAAGUUUAAGCACACAACAAUUACCUGCCCAUGUGUUGGUGCACUGCCGCUUUCAUUAAAAUAGCACAUCAUCGAUCUCUAUUCUUGGAAUGUGAGAUAUAUAACGCCAUUCUUGCCCAUUCUCAAAUUGGAGUCGUUGUUCCAGUGAAGGACACCAUCUGACAUACAGAGAAGAGAGGGAGUCUGGCAGUCUCUCUUUUGUCAAGUAUUGAAGCUUAGGGCAGUCGAAAAUUCUUAACGUUUCAAGAGUGGUGAGGUGGUGAAGACCCGCUUCUGUCAAGGAUUGGAGCCUUCCGCACGAGUCGAUUCCUAAUUUCUUGAGAGAGAGAAGGCAUUGAAGAACAGAUCCUGUCGAGAAUUGGAGCUCAGGGCAGUACUGGAUCCAUAAUUCUCGAAGAGAGGUGAGUUGUUGAAGCCCCUUGUUGUCAAGAGACUUGAGAUUUGGAAGACUAUAGAUUGAAAGAUAAGUUAGAGAAGAGGGCAGCAGACACUCCUUGGGAAAUAAUUCCACGCCUUCACAUCCACCUUCGAUUGUGAAAUGAGUAAGAGAG
rnacentral:lncRNA from 1 species